AGGAAGUUCCAAUUAAAUUAUAAAUAUCAAUAAACAAUGUUGUAAACUUCCAUUGCUGGUUGCAACUCCUUGUUCUAAUUCAUUUAUUUACUCUAAAAGAAUGUUCGUUUCUAAGAUCACUUGUAUCGCUUAACAUAUAGUAUUCAAAGAAAAAUAUAUAAAUAAUAUUUCAAUUGCCUUAUUUCAUUUUAUUAGCAACAUCUCAAAUUACAAAGUCUUAAAUCUAUGGUGUAUGAAAUUAUGAAAGGAAAAAUAAACAAGGUGUAAUAUUUUAUUAUAAGGUAUAUUGCGUAAGAACUCAUUUGUCAUGUAUUGAGUUUGUUUACCCUUUUGGCUUUCACUUCGACUCUUGGGGCAAUUUUACAAAUGUACAUAGAUUGUCAAUACACUUCAAAGAAUAAAGAACAAAAUAAUCUGCCGGUCGUGAACAAUCUGCAUCUGUUUGGCAUUCAAUUUUUUCUGUAAUAAAAGAACAAAAUAAAAAAAUAAAAUUAAUAGAAAAAUAAAAAAUUGUGUUCUAAGUAAAAAAAGUAAAGAUCAAAAUUUGAAAAGGUUAGAAAAAUAUCUUACUGCACAUGUUUCUUUCAAUAAAAAACACAGAAAUCAAUAAAAUCAUAAAAUGAACAAUUUUGAAAAAUUUAGCCAUAUUUCCUCUUUUUGCGUGUUAUAGAUAGAAUACUAUAUGACCAAUUUAUAGUGUAUAAAUUUAACUUAUCCUAAGUUAAAAUAAAUUAAUUUUUUUAGCCCUUGAGGAGUAUGGAAAAACAUCUUUAAAUUGCUAAUAUGAUAUAUUUUUAUUAGAUUAAUGUGUGAUGUUUGUCCUUUUAACACAUUAAGAGUAGCAUACAAAACUUUUUUAUCAUUAAAUUCACUAUUUUAAAAUUAAUUUUUCAUGAUAGAUAAAUAAUAUUUUAUUUAUUUCAAAAAUAGUUACAAUAUGGAAAAGUUAUUUGUCCGCAUAGUUUACCGAUGGUUAAACAGUGUAAGAUUUCUUUUUUAUAAAUGAAAUUAUUUUAGAUAAUGAAUAUUAAAUUCUUUAGUUAUUUGAUUUUAGAGUCGGAAAUGAGUCGAGUCGAAUCAAAUUCGUCUCAGUUCAGCUUGAUUCGAUAAUAAUUAGUUUAACUCAAAAUUCGACUCAAAUUUUUUAAGUUUAACUUCAAAUCAUUUUAAAUUCACGAACAAUUUAAUUCAAUUCGUUAGAUUCAUCUCGUUAAACUCAGUCGUUUACUCUACAAACUAAAAAUAUAUUUUUUAAAGUCUUAUAUAUAUAUAUAUAUAUUUUUUUUUUAAAAAAAAAUAUUUAAAUAUAAGAUUGAAAUUUAACUUCUUUUAAAAAAUUCUUAAUGUUUUUAUUUAUUAUAAGAAUUUUAUUAAAUAAAAAAGUUUAAUUUUUAAUCACUAUAUACAACUUUUUUUAUAAUACGAUGAUUUUAUUUGAAUAAUUAUUUUUAAAAAUAUUUUACUCACUUGAGAAUAUAAAUGAUCAAUUAAAAUCGUCAGAUUAAAAAUAAAAUAAAGGGUUAAGAUUGGUAGUAUGUUUUUAAGCUUAUUCUUAGAGCCAAUAUUACCAUUCUCAUAUAUAAUCGAGUUAAUUUAUGAACAUAAUGAGUUGAACUAUACAUAGUUCAAACCCAUCUCAUUUAAUUAACGAACUUAAUUUUUUACUCGUAUUCAACUUAUUUGAUUCAUGAACACCAUUUACAUGUCAGUCACAUCUCCGAAACUGCAUUUUUGGAUUUGUCUAGCGUGAUUUUUAAUAAAAUAACACAUUGCAUGUUCUUCUUCUUUAUGAUCAAUUACCAUUUUCACUCAAAAUCCUUAAAAAAUAAUCUUUCAUUCUCAACCAAGUUUUACACUCCAAAACUUCAUUAUGGAGCAAAAGAAACUGAAAUUUAAGGUAAAAUUCAUGCAUUUUAUUCCUCAUUGCUCACAUUAAUCAGGUUUUUGAGCUGAAAAAGUUAUGUUGUGUCUAGAAAUGCAAUUCCGGAUUCUAGGUGAGUUCAUACAGAAAUGUAUUUUCAGAAUAGUUUAGAGUAUAAUUUAAAUUAUUUGUUUUUGAAUAUUUUAGGUUAUUGUUUGCCUUAGCUAUGGUGUUCCCUAAUGUUAUCCCCAAACCUAUUGUGUCUACGUAUGUCAAAAGUUUUAACGUCAAGGAUGUAGAUGUUGGUAACAUAUUAAUAAAUGGACAAGAGUUUGAUGUUUGUGAUCAUAUGCUCCAAUAGAUCUGCACAAAGAUCCAAAUUGGGGGCUGGGUUGUAAUCUAGAGGUCAGAAAUGGUUCAGAUAGAAUACUUGCAUUUGUGACAUUGAGAUGUGAAAGAAGUGACAAGUAGACAACUCUUCUCCGAAAGUUGAAACGAGGUGACACUGGUUCAAGGAAAUGUAAGUGUCCCUUUAAGUUGCGUGAAUAUCUUUUGGCAAAAAUUAAAUGUACAUUUAAUGUGAUUUAUGGUUUACAUAACCAUGAAAUGUGUCAUAAGAUAGACAACCAUCAUGUUGCAUCUUGCCUUAUGCCUAAAGAAAAGGAAAUUGAUUUUGAUGUAACAUUGAAUAUGGUGCAACCCAAAAACAUAAUUGCAACUAUGAAACAUAAAAGACGUGAAAAUAUCUCAAAUAUCAAGAAAUAUACAACGUUCAUGUCCUUAACAACAAGGCGAUAAGGGGGUAGGCUUGAACUGCAACAACUGCUGAAACUUCUGGAUGAUAACAAUCAUGUAUAUCGGUACCGAAUGUGUGAGGAUGGAGAAAUCAUUUGAGAUAUAUUUUGGACUUAUCCUGAUUCUAUAAAGUUGUUCAACAUAUUUCGAUCAUACCCUAAAUUUCACCCUAUCUUUCAUAAUGUUUAUCUAGAUCACUAACCCUAAUCAUUUGCAUAUUCUCAUGGGCAUUCAUUCCGUUUUUAUAGGCAUGGUUCAAUACAAGAGAACAUGUAUCUUGGAUUCAAAGCUUGGUACUUGUACUUAGUGGAAACUAGGGUUUCCUAGCAAUUAGAGGUUGCUCAGUCAACCAAACCCUAAUUGGAGAUAACUCUCGAUGCUUGGGUAUGUGCUUGUUAUUGAUGAUUCAACUGUGGCUUCUUGAUGAAGCAAAACCCUAAUUUGGGGACUCCCACUUGCUCAUGUCUCCACAAACCCUAAUUAUGUCUAGCAUUCAUUGUGUGGCCUCAUAACCUUAAUUUCAUCUAAUUCUUCUCCACCUAUUGUGUGUGUGUGUGUCUCUCUCUUGUUUGGUCAAGUUUCAUUCAAUGGUCUCUUGUUCAUGGAUCAUUCAUGUUGAUCCUUGGUUUUGAUUCCAUUCAUCUUGUUCUUGUGUCCAUUGGUUUGAGCUCAAUUCCAUGGCCCCACAACUUUCAUUUGCACUCAUCCAUAGCAUUUCAUAUGGUUAUCUCAAGUGUUUAGUCCAUGCCUUUCUUGUUUCAUCAGGUCAAUUUCAUUUAAGUCCAUUUCAUGACAUUUUCAAUGCUUAGUGUUUGAUCCAUGGAUCUUUGAUUCAUGCUUAUCAUUGUCCAUUCAAGUUUUCUAAAGCCUAAUAUGAUUCAUCCAAUUCAUGUCCAUUAGUUCAUGUUAAUGGUUCAUUCAUUUCCAUACCUUUCAUCAUUUCUCAUUUCAAUCCAUUUCAAGUCUUGUUAGGUAACAUCCUUUCAAGGUUUGAUUCCAUUGGUUCAUGUUAAUAUAGUCCAUUCAAAGUUAAUUCAAGCCAUGUUAAUAUGAUCCAUUCAAGUCAUGGUUAUCCAUUCAAUGAAUUCAAAUUAUGAUCCAUCAAUACAUUCAAAGACCAAAUUCUAUCUAUUCAAGUUCAUAUCAAAUUCAUUACUUUUAAAUACCAAGUUCAUACAAUAUCAAUCCAAUUUCAUUCACAAAAACCUCAAAUUCCAUUACAUAGAUCAUGAGAUUGUCCAUACAUGAAAAAAUUACAAAAAAAUGACAUGUUAACCAAAUGUUAACUUUGGUCAACAAUUGACUUUUUGGUCAACUUUGACCAAAGUCAACUCAACCACUCACCACCCUAAAUCUCAAUCAUAUUUCUAAUCCUAAGUUCAACCUUGAUUCUUGAGUUUAGGUCAUUUUUACAUGAUGCUUCAAGGUUCAACUUGGUGUCACUUGUUUGCAAACUUUUGUCCAACCCAUUUCAUGUGCAUAUGACAUAUGAGAAACCUAGCAAAACAAUCCACAACAUGAAGUCAAUAUGCAGUGAAAUCAUGAACCAUUGCCAACCAAGUUGCAAAAUGCAUGAACACAAGCUCACAACCCACUAGCACAAGCCAUAUAUUAGUGCACAUUAAAAGCAAGUCAGAAUCAUAAGCACCAUGGUCAAGAUGCAGAACCUACUACGAUAUGAACAUAAAUUAUGCAUGCAGAACCACUUCACAAGACUACAAGGCUCCCUGCAUAAACUAAGUUAAAAUUAAAGCAUGAUGCAUAACCUUGCAUAAACAUAUGACUACUAUCAAACCUUGCAGGAACAUGCCAUGCUCACCUGCAGUGAAACACCUCAAAACCAUACUGAAGCUAGCGGAAAUAUACCCGAACGUAUCGCAUGCUCGAACAUGCAACAGAGUUUCCAUCGAACUUUAUUUAUUCCCGAAGGAAAGGGAAAACAUUGAUAAAACCUGGGGGAAAGAGAUAUGUUAGGUAAGGAAGUCGGUUAUGCAAGGGGAAUGUAUUAACACCCCUAACAUCCAUGGUAUUCCAUGAGAACCAUUUUGAUUAUUCUCGCUCCAAUGGGUGUUCUAUAUAAAGAUUACUCACAAAAAAAUAAGAGGAAAGGAAGAGAAUAGAUAAAGUGCUUGGUGAGGAUUGGGGCCUUUAUGCCUACGUAUCCUCAUAGUGCAAUAAGGAAUUCAGAGCUAUGUAGUUCAUAGAACUAGUUGCGGGAGAUGAAAAGAAGUGUGAUAACAAGUAUAGUCUAAACAAAAGGAUGAUCUGAUUUGAACUCUAAAAAGGGGUGAAAUAUGAACCCAAGAGUAAAACUGGAGUUGACCAACAAGUGAUGGGCAUAAGGCAUGGUAUCACUGUAUUGGAAUAACUGAAAAUAAAGGAAUUAAGUGUUUGGUUUCACAGCACAAACAACUCUUGGUUCAUAAGGAAAUACAAGAUGGAGCACAAAGAGAUAUUAUAUUUUGCUCAAAGAUAAAUGAUAUAUCACAUGAAGUGAAUGAAGGUAGAGUAUGAAUGCAUUAUGGAGAUGAAUGGAAUGAAGUGACCAAAGUCACAAAAUCGAAGGUUUGGUAACAAGUGGCUGAAGAAGUAUAGUUUGAAACCAAAGGUCAGAUACACAUCAUAAUGCAUAGGAGAAAUAAAGUUUGUACCAUAGAGAGAAACAAGCAUCUUAGCGUAAAAAGAAGGAAUUAAAUGUUUGGUUUGACAACACAAACAACUCUAGGUAUGGAUGCAUACUUUUCAUUAGGCGUUCUAAAAGGGUGUGUAUGGAUAUCCAAAGUAAAUUGUAUUUCAGUUUUAAAGAAACGGUAUAUCACUAGAGUGAACAGUUUAAUGAUCAAAAGUAGAUAAUGUACCGUGAAAGAUAUGAGUGGUGCCCUAAGACAGAAGGAGGAAUAAUUAGAAGUAUGCUCGCAGAGGAUUCGCAUCAUCGUGCCUACGUAUUCUCACCGUGCAAUGAGAAAAUCAGAGCAAUCGUAGUUCGUGGAACUACGAACAAAAAGGAAAGAGCAUAAACAGUAUUUGUCUAAGUAACAAGGUCUGACAAGACAAACAACUAAAGGGGUAUGAUUAAAGUGAUGAACAAUAUAACUUGUACCAACAGAAUUGUAACAUGGGAACUCACAAAGGUGAACGACUUCGAACCAAAGGGUAAAGGCAUAUCAGUCAAAAGAGAGAGCAAAGUGUUUGGUUUGACAUCACAAACAACUUUCAAUUCAUAAAGUUUUGGCCCAAAAGGAGGUAAUGAUUGUUUGGUUUGACAACACAAACAUCUGGUUCACAAGGUGGACUAUGAUUAGGUCGUCCUAAAAGGAUGUAAAUGGGGUCCCACAAGAAAGUAUUGUUGGGUACAAUAAACAGUAUAUCACUAGCUAGGAAACAAACAAUUCGAGAUCGAGGAAGAAUAGUAUAUUGGAUCCAUGAAAGAAUGAACUCUGAACCGAAAAGUAAACAUAUAUUUUGGUCAAAAAGAAGGAAUAAGGUGUUUGGUUUGACAUCACAAAUAACUUUUUGUUCACAAGGUUUUAGCCAAAAGGAGGAAUCAAAUGUUUGGUUUGACAGCACAAACAACUCUUGGUUCACAAGGCAGACUGUUCAUUAGGCGUCCUAAAAGGAUGAGCACGGAAACCAAGGAAAAGUAUAUUUGAUCUCAAAAAGAUGAUAUUGAUUUAAUGAAUGAAGAAUGUUGGAUUAAUAAAUAAGGUAGCUCGCGAAGAAACUGGAUUCUCCUGCCUACGUAUCCUUAUAGUGCAAUAAGGAAAUCAAAGCUUUCGUAGUUCAACCCACUAGGGCUGAAAACAAGAAUGAUUAAGGAGGCAAGAGGAGUGAUUGAUUGAAAUGAAGGAUGGAUUAGACUUGAUAGUUACUUGAUAAGAAUCAUACGAAAGUUUAUGAGUAAAGGUGGAUACGAUAAGCAACGGGCCAAAUGUCCUACACCUAAAGAUAUCCAGAAUGAGUGUAGGAAAGCUCCAGUCUCAUUCCUUCUUUACUACUUAAGGCUCGUGGCGUGUAAUUCUCAUAUUAACUUUCAAGUUGCUGGAGAAGAGUCUUGGUCAUUGUUCGUUGUAAUGAUGAAACGAGAGACUUGACAGUUGAUUGACGAGGAUCACACUAAAGUCUAUGAAUAAGGGCAAGUGUGUUGAAUAGCUAGGGCCUACGCCCCGUACGCAAAGUCACUCUAGACAAGGAUGAGAGAAACUCUGUAUCAUCAUUCCUUAUUAUUUAAGGCUCAUGGUGUAUGAUACUUCUCACAACUCACAAGUUGUUGUGGAAGAAUCUUCUUUGUAACUCCUUGUGUUAAUAUUGUUUUGCUUGAAGAAUACUUGGUAGUGUAUUCGAUUCGUAUUGCACUAAAGUUUAUGAAUAAGGGCAAACGCUUUGAAUAGCUAGGGCGUACACCCCGUAUACAAAGUCGCUCUAGACAAGGAUAAGAGAAACUCCAUCUCAUCAUUCCUUAUUACUUAAGGCUCGUAUCGUACAAUUUGAAUCGUAUUCACCAAGUGUUGACCUUUGAUUUAUCUUGUAUAACCCGCUGCUUGGUAUAAUUGAGGAUGCCUUGAUUGAAGAUCAGACUUAAGGCUUUGAGCUCCACAACUUAGAGAAAAAAGUCUUAUUAAGUAACCAAAAGUCUUUUGGUCACUCAAUUUAGACUGUGGGAUUAUACAAUAUCAAAGGACUUAGUUGAUCAAAAUUACUUUUGAUCAAUUUGAAUCGUAAGUUAAGAUUUAGUUUGAAAACUGGGAGAGAACUUAAUCUAAUGGUUAGAAUUAAUCAAACUAAUCUAAGAGAUCAUGUCAUAGUUAGUCAAGACUUGAUUAAAAAUCUAUGUCAAAAAAGUUCCUAAGGGAACAUGCAAUUAAAUGGUUAAAAUGACAAAAUAACCCCUAAGGGGGUAAAAUUAUCAAUUCACAAAAAUAUCCAAUCAUGAACACAAAUUUAUUUCUAAUUAAAGUCUAAUUAGAACCUACAAAUUGAUUAAAUCCUAAGAUCUAUUUUAACGUAAUAUUCAAGAAUUAACUAAAUUCUAAAAUUAAUUAAAAUCUAAUUAUUUUCUAAUUUCUAAUCUAAUUAAAACUAUAUCAAAAACCAAUUAGAAAAUUAUACAAAAAUCUAAUAAAGUCCUAAAUUCUAAUUAAAAUCUAAAACCCAAUUAAGCCUAAUUAAAACGCUAAAAAAACAACUAUCAAAAAUAUCAACACAAAAUAAAAUGGAAUUAAAUAUAAUUAAAAUGGUGAUUAGAAUAUUGGGCCAAGGGGGGUGCAGACCCUGAAUAUAGAGUGCAUAAUUCAGUAAUAGGGGAUUUGGGCCCAACAAAAAAAGCCCAAAUAUCAAGAAGUGUAGUUGGAUUCAACAAGUAUGUUGCUAAGAAAAAUAGGGGUGUAGAAAACAAAGUAUUGAGCUUAAUGGCUAAGCUCAACAAAGUUUGCUAAGGGACAUGUGAAAAAUUCAGCACUCACUCUCUUCUCUACACAUCAUCUUUCAAUUCUCAUGUCAAAACAGAACCAUCAUCGGAGCUCCGACACCACCGCGCUUGAGGCGGCGAAAUUGGACGAAAUCAAGAAAAAACAUCAGUUUCUUAGUCCUUUCAACCUCUUUGAUCCAAAUCCCUCACCCAUUCUAACUACAAGUUAAUCAAUUCUGAAAAUUAAUCCAUUAAAGUCAAGAACCCUAAGCAUAAAAUCUGAAAUUAAAUAGAGAUGGAGGAGAAUCAAACCACAAAACUUUGGGGUUUUGAUUCUCCACUACAUAAGUUAUAUUGUGGUGUCAAAAAUUCAGCAAAUAAGCAAAGAUAAAAAUUCACCGACCUGUAAGGCGGAAUAUUGUCUUGGAACUUGUUGAAAUUUGGAGGUGAUGAAAAUGAAGAAGAGAAAACCAGAUGUAUGCUACUUGGACUCUUUAAUCUUCUACUUCUACUAUGAACUCCUCCUCUUUAAGAAUCAACUCUGAAAAAUUCUGAAUUGAAUUAUUGUUGUUGAUGUUGAUUAUGUGAAUGUAGGGAUAAUUGUUGAAUGCAAGAGGUUUAGCUCAAUUGAUAAAAACUUCAAUGUGAAGCUUGCUCCAAUGAUGGUUUGAGCUUUGGUGUAGGGUGAAGAAUUGGAGAAGAUGAAGUGAGAAAAGUUGAAUUUGCAAUGAGUAAUUUGAGAGUGAUGAUCAAAUUCUGAGAGAGCUUUGGUGUAAUGAGAGUGAUGUGUUUAUAUAGGUUAUAGAUUUGGAUUAAAUGGAGGUUUGGAGUUAGUUUUGUGAGGCUUGGAAUUGGUUAAAUGAGGUUUGGAAUUAGUUAAAAUAGUUUGGAAUUAGUUUGAAGAGGUUUGGAGUUAGUUUGGUGUGGUUUGGAGUUAGUUUGAUGUGGUUUGGAAUUAAUUUGGGACUGUUAUGAGUAACUCACAAAUGUUGAAAAGGUUGCUGAAUUGAAGUGUUAAGAGUUUGGUCCAAUGCAUGAAUGAUAUGGUUUGUUGCUGCAUAAUUGUGUAGAGAUUUCAAUGUGUUAUGAGUUACCUUGUUAAAAUUUCACAAUCCCCGUGGAGACGGAUUCCAUUUAUUAGUUCGACAAGACUAGUACAUUUGCUAGAAUUGUCCAUCAUCCAUCAUAACUUUAUAAAACUCCAACUUAACUUCUCGAGCUAGUAUGAAUCAAAGAAAGUUGUCACGAAAAAAGUAGCUAGAUUAUAUCUUUGUCUUUAUUUUCCACGAAUCUUUUAAAGGACGCGUACGUGAAACAUUUUAUGAUUUUUGAUAUCAUAAUAUUUUUGUUCAAAAUAUUAGUAUUAUUUUUCUAGUUUUUCUUGUUCAAAAGCAACGUCAAACAUUUGUCUUCGUCCAACAUAUGUUUUAUUGUUUUCUUGUAAUUUAGAUUAGAUUUUAGGUUUUAUAAUAUUGUUUUUGUUGAUAUAAGUAAAGUUUUUAAGUUAUUGUUAAGAUAAUUAAAGUGUUUAAGUUAUUGUUCAGGUAUGUUGUUGUUUUGUUAAACUAAGUUGUUGCUUAUGUUAAUGCAUGUUUUGUUUUUGUUGGUAAAUAUUGUUGUUUGUGUUAUUGUAAAUAUUUUUUAUUAGGUAUGUGAUGUUUUGUUGAUGUAUGUUAUUGUUUUUUUACGGUAAGUUUAUGAUUUUUUUAUAAAUAUUUUUUUGGUGUUAUUUUAGAUGUUUUUUAAAGUAUGGUGAUGUUAUUUUGUUGAGGUAUGUUAUUUUUUUGUUAAGAUAAGUUAUUGUAUUUUAUUGAUAGAUGUUGUUGUUUCUUUUAGUUUAGAUGUUAUUAUUGAAGUAUGUUGAUAUUUUUGUUGGGGUAUCCUGAUAAAUGUUGUUGUUGAGGUGUUUUAGAAAAAUAUUGUGGUUUUUGUAUAGGUAUGUUAUUGUUUAUGUUAUUUUUUAUGUUUUUCUUAAUUUCAUUACUUGAACACUGCAGUUAUCAUUUUUUUCAACCAACAUUCCUAGAAGAUGAGUUUAUUAUAUCGUAUACGGUUUGACUGUUUUACCAACGCGUCAUUGAAUAUAUAACCUUUCGAAUUGAAUUAGAAAAUAAUAAUAUGAAAAAUUAAGUUAUAUUAGAAAAAAAAACUUACAUUGAUCCAUGUUUUACGAGCUUUCUUUAGCCCAUUAUCCAUAUCUCGUUCUUUGACGGUUAUAAUUUGGUUUAAUGCUUGUAUUAAUACUGCGCAAAAUAAACUAAAAGAGAAUGAAGUGUUGGUUGAAGAAAUAUAAGCAUUGAACCAAAUUCUAAUUGUUAAAGAGUGAGAUAUAAAUAAUGGAUUGUAGAAAAAUGAAAAAAUAUUUAUUAAUGUAACUUAUUCUUUUAAUAUAAUUCAAUUUGUCAUUUUAUUGAUAUCUAAAUUAGAGUGAAAUGUUAUAUGUUUAUUGAUAAUUGAUUAAUCAAGUGUGACAAUAAAUUAUGUCAUAUAAAAACCCUCUUAAUUGAUUAUAAUAAGUCCCUAAUUUAUUACCUAGGCACAAAAGGUUUUCAAAUAGUUUUAAUAAAAUCAAAGAGGAUGUUCUAUCAUUCAAAGUGUGUAAACACGCUAUUGAUAUGAUAAAGAUAUAAUACAACAAAUUUCCCAAAUUACAUGCCUAAAAAUUAAGAGAUAUUGAUGAGGAAGUUACGUAUGAGAUAUGUUAUUAAAAUAUAAGAGACAUUCUAGGAGCUAUCUAUGUUGUCAUCUAAUGACAUAGUCAAUUACAUCAGUUAAUUGUUACUAAUAAUUACAUGCUAAAAAUAACAGUUAAUUAUUAACACAAUAAAAAUGAAACUGCAUGGUGCAAACACAACUGUUACGGUAUGUUGAUCUUAUACAGUUCGAAAUAUAUUUGCAAGGGUUUUAAGUGACCGCUAAUAUCUUAUUUAAACUGGAUAAACUUUUAUUUUGGAGGUCAAAAACCCUAUAUAUUAUUAAUAAUGUGAAAAAAAAUGAAACAAUUCUUUAGCUUUUAUUGGAAAUAUAAUUACGGAGAAAUCAAAGGAUAUGUAAAUAAAAAUUAUGCUGAUACAACUGAAAAUUCUUAAUGGCCAAAAUAAAUAUUAUCUUAAAUAAAGAAUAUUAAACAUUCCAAGAAUGAAAUAAAUCAUAACUUUACAACAUAUCAAGUCAUAUGUAAUAUCUUAUUAAUAUGAAAACAAAAGUUACAGUGAUCAACUUUAUUAUCUCAUGAAAGAAAACUCAUAACAUGUUGCAAAUGGAAGGUUUCUAUAUAAACCAUAACAUUUCAUCUCCAUAAACCACAAACAUUUCAAUUAAUAAAUUCUACUUUGCAAUAAUAAUGGCUUUAGGUUCUUCAUUUUGUUUACUAUUAAUCACAUGUAUGAUUUUGAUUGGUAUAAGCCCUAAUUCAGCUGCUGAUUUAUCAUAUACAUUCUACGAUAAAUCUUGUCCGAAAGCUCUUCGCACAAUUAGGAAAACAGUUCAAGAUGCUGUUUUUAACGAGCCUCGCAUGGGAGCUUCUAUACUUCGACUCCAUUUUCAUGACUGCUUUGUUCUUGUAAAUUCAUUUCUCAUCAUAGUUUAUAUUAACUUGCAUUUAAUUUCAUGCACGCGAUGCAUGCUCGUGCAUAUAUAUAUAUUAUAUAUAUAUAGUAUUCGCGGAGUAAAAAAUUAACAAUUUUAAUUUUUUGUCGUAGGGUUGUGAUGCAUCGGUAUUGUUAGAUGACACGGUGAAUUUCACGGGCGAAAAGAAAUCGUUUCCAAACGCGAACUCGCUAAGAGGCUUUGAGGUUAUUGACAAUAUCAAAUCUCAAUUGGAGAAAAUGUGUCCUAAAGUUGUAUCUUGUGCUGAUAUCUUAACCCUAGCUGCUAGAGAUGCUGUUGCUGCUGUAAGUACAAAUUUAGUAUAUACUAACAAUUUGAUACAUUAUGAUUAUUAAUGCAUAUUUAUAUAUGUAUAGCUUGGUGGAAAAAGAUGGAAUGUACUAUUAGGAAGAAGAGAUUCAACAACAGCAAGCUUGGAUUUAUCAAAUUCUGACUUACCUAGUCCUUCUAUGGAUCUUGAUGGCCUUAUCACUGCUUUUGCCAAGAAAAAUUUCACUACUGAAGAAAUGGUUGCUUUAUCAGGUAAUUAAAUAAUUUAUGCCCUUAAAAAUGCAUUUCUUUAAUUCUUGAGCUUGGUUAGUCUAUAGACUUCAUAUACAGACAUAUGUCAUUCAUAUACAGACGACAGAUACGACAAUGAUAUAAAUAAUAUUAAUAAUUUAUGAAAAUGAAAUAAUCGAAAGUGACUACAUGCGUAAGUAUGUAGUGUAACAUUUUUAUGUUUUUGGUUAAUCAGGUGGUCACACAAUUGGCAAUGUGAGAUGCCAAUUUUUCAGAUCAAGGAUAUACAAUGAGACAAACAUAGACCCUAAAUUUGCUACAACAAUGCAAGCAUUAUGUCCAUUUGAAGGUGGUGAUGAUGAUUUAUCUCCAUUUGAUUCAACCACACCAAAUAAUUUCGACAAUGCUUUCUACGCUAACUUGGUUCAAAACAAAGGUCUAGUACACUCUGAUCAACAACUAUUUGCUAAUGCAACAUCAUCCACAAGCUCUCAAGUAAGAACAUAUAGCAGAAACAACGGACGUUUCAAAAGAGAUUUUGCAGCUGCAAUGUUCAAGAUGACAAUGCUCAGUCCACUUACUGGCAAUGAUGGCCAGAUUAGGACUAAUUGCAGAUUUGUUAAUUAAUCACCAUGCUAAUUUGGUGUUUGUAUUCUUUAAAUUAAUAAUAAAUUGAAGGCUUGAUUUGUUAAUGAUCCAAUAUUGUAACUUGUUAAUUACUAAAAAAAAAUAUUUGAUUUGUAUUAAGAAAACCUUCCAAGAAGUUACAAUGAUGGUCGUUAUUACAUCAUAAAAGAAACGUCAUUAUAAAGAGUUUGCAAAGAAAAGUUAUAUGAAUAAUUGAAUUUUUCCGUUUCUAAAAUAAUAAUAGUUGUUACUACAGUAUGAAGCUCCAAUUAAAUUAUUACCAACAUUUUAAAAUACAAAGUCUUAAAUAUAUGGUCUAUGAAAUCAUGUAAGGAAAAAUAAAAAGUACAUUUAUUAUGGUUAGUACAACAAUUCAUUGGCAACUAAGGAAUAUUUUAUUAUAAAGUUGUGUAAGAACUCAAUUUUUUCAUGUAUUGACCCCGACUUCUUUCUGUCCUAUAAAUUCACAUAGAUUGUCAAUACACUUCACGAUGUGAUAUUUACUAAUAUUAGGAAACGCUUCUUGACAAUAUACAUCUGUUUUGCAUUCAACUUUUACGGUAAUAAAAUAACAAAAUAAAGAAUAAUAUUAAUAGAAAAUAUAAAAAAUUGAGUUCAAAGUAAAAAAAAUAAAGAUCAAAAUUUAAAAAGGUUAGAAAAAUAUCUUACUGCAAAUGUUUCUUUCAAUAAAAAAUGCAGAAAUCAAUAAAAUCAUAAAAUGAACAAUAUUGAGAAAUUUAGCCAUAUUUUUUUUUCAUGUUAUAGAUAUAAUAUGAUAUGAUCAAUUAUAGUGUAUAAACUUGUCCUAAGUUAUAAUAAAUUAAUUAUUUUUAGCCCUUGAGGAGUAUGGAAAAACAUCUUUAAAUUGCUAAUGUGUAUAUCUCUUUAUUAGAUUAAUGUGUUAUGUUUGUCCUUUUAACACAUUAAAGAGUAACAUGCAAAACUUUCUUAUCAUUAGAAUUCCCUCUUUUAAAAUUAAUUUUUCAACCAAAAAUUAUUUUCUUUUCCUUUAAGUUUAAUUUUUAAUCACUCUAUACAAUUUUUUUUAUAUGAUGAUGAAUUUAUUUGAAUAAUUAUUUUUAAAUAUAGAGAAUAUAAAUGAUCAAUUAAAACUGUCAAAUUAAAAGAAAAAUUAGAAGAUUUAUAGUAAGUUUUUAAACAUAUUCUUAGAGCCAAUAUAACUCAUCUUAUAUAUAAUCGAGUUGAUUCAUAAACAUAAUGAGUUGAACUAUACAUAGUUCAAAUCUACCUCAUUUAAUUAACAAAUUUAAUUUUUUUUGUUCAUAUUCAGCUCAUUUAGUUCAUGAACCUAGUUCAAUGAUUUAAUGGUCGAAUUGAAUUUUGAAUUAUGUUCGAAUUUGUCCGGUUCAUUGAUUGCUCUAUUUGAUUUCAUAACAUUAUCAUUAACAUAAAUCUUGUAACAACCCAUAUAAUAUAUAUCUAGAAUAAUAUCAUACCAACUUUAUUUUAUUUUUUUGGUAUUGUUACAACAUAAGUGUCUAACGACAUCUUUAUAUACAUGUCCAUAAAAUAAAAUACAACAUAUGGAACAUGUCAUGCGAUAGUGCCUAAAUAAAGAUCUAAGAAUUAAAUAUCUACAAUUGUAUACAUUUAUAGCAGAAGAUCACAAUAAAAUCUUCUCUUGAAACAUCAAUGCACAACUCCUCUUGUACAAUAUAUCCUGUAAAUAAUACUGGAAAAACAACAACAAUAUUGGGGUGAGAGAAUAAUCUCAGUGAGUUCUCCUAUCUUAUGGGUUCACUCGGCUCUACAUGGUUUUCUAAUCAAUUUCCUAACUCAAGUCACAAAGGGGGAAAACUUAAGUUCACAAUACUCGCAAUAUAUAGAAAUAUGCCUUUGGAGUUCAUUAACUCUAAUAAUCACUAAUAGGGAACCAUUCUAAGGUAUCUUUCCCUGAACAACCUUGCGUCUAAGAUUAUCGACACGGGUCACGGAUCCUUGUAUAUACUUUGAUAUACGCAAAGACUUCAGAUUCUAAGUGAUCACAUCCACUUCAAGAAUUGUCGCUUCCUAUGGGACUCCAAACCCAUUUUAAGCCUUUUACUCGUAUGGGACUCAUCCCACUUUGUGAUCUACCGCCUUUCGGACUCACACCCAUGUCAUAAGUAUUGGUGUGUACGUCCCAAUUCUUACUCUAUAUGAGCAUCACAACUUGGAAAAACACAAUCAACGAGUUAUUUCCGACUACGUGACAAGAUAGAAACAUAACGUGAUUGUACUCAAAAAUCACAAGGCAAUCACGUUCAUCUUCAUCAUACAACAACACAACAUGUUUCAUACAAUGCAUCUCACUCUCAACUAUGGCAACCAUUCAUCCAUGACACGCAACUAGGUAUCAUAUAGAAUAAAUAUCGCCAUCUAACAUUAUCGAUGCCAUAUGUCUAACUUUUUAACCUAAUUGAAAUUCUAGGUUAACUCACAUUGUUUGUCAUGUUUCUCUCUCAAUUAUUGUUGAUUUAAUGCAUACAUAUCACAACAUAGGUCAUAAGGCACACAUAUCGAAAAGAGAGCAUAUUAAUCCCAAACAAAACACAAGAAAGUAUCAUGAUCAUAUAGAGAUUUAAACAAGCUUUCUAACGCAUUUGACCGCACGCCAAACGGAUUUACGAAACUCAAGUUACGCCACAAACAGUGCAGAGGAAAACACAAAAACCAGUCAACUGCACUAAGCGCCAUCUGAGACUGCUAUUGUGAUUUGAGAAUGUUAUGCGGAGAAAUGUGGAAACCUUUUUGAGUAUUUUAUUAUGCAUGUUUUAUAAAUUAAGUGUUUGGGGUUUAUGAUGUUACGGUCAGACCCUAACCAUAUACAACUAAUCAAAGUAUUUCAUUUCCCUUAAGCGAUGAGCGAUCGUCCUCUUGAUUCCCGCUACGUCGUUGGCUCCUUUUCUACGAACAAUAAUUGAAUUUGUUUCUUAGUCUUACAAUCGAAAUCUUUCAAAUAUAUAUUCAAAUAAAUAAAUAAGUAUUUAGACAAAUAAUCAAAUAAUGCAAGCACAAAUAAACCUUCGACAUCAUAUAUCAGACCUAUAACAUCUUAUUAAGCUCAAGAUAACAAUUCUAAAGUAUCUUAAAUUAUUUUAUGUUAACCGUCCCAACGUAUAUAGAUCUUUCCCCCAUAUUCUGUUGUUGAACAUUGUUGAAAGUCCACGAGCGCUUCCUCCGAUCUUCGGCAAGAACUUAAUUUCAAUAACCGUCGAAUUAUAAUUUAAAAAAUAAUUAGAAUAUAAUUUACGUAUAAUUAGACGUAACUCAUUACAACUUGAAAUAUUUACUUUAAAAUAUUUAACAAUAACCUCCACUAUAUUUGAAUAAUUAUUAAACUCAAAUAUAAAUUAGACUAUACCCUCGUUUGGAUUUGUUGGUUUUAGAAAAUUAUCAAGAGUAUAUUCCUAAUAACCUUUUAAUUUUAUAAUAACACAUGAGCAUUAUAACAACUUAAAAUGGUAAAAUUUAUCUUUUAUUAGGAUAUCAACUUGGACUUUAUAAGUUCAAUACCUCGAUGCUGAACAGAAAUUUAAAUAGAAAAUUUAAAAUAACCUUAUAAGAAUAAAAUAAUUAAGUUAAUAUAAUUAAAAUGAAAUGGACAUUAUAACGACUUACCAGUUACUUAUGGAAAUAAUUGUGGCAGAACUUUGGCAUAUAAAAUCAAACUUCUUUGAAAUUUUAGAAUCAUUUUGAUCACAUAAGAAUUCUAAAAACUAUGAACCAAUACCGUGAAAACCUCGAUAACAAAAACUAAUAUUGCUAUAUGAAGAAAAUAGAAAAAGAGAGAAAUAGAAUGGUGAGAGAGAUAAAUUGUGAAUGAAUAAUAGAGAAAAUGGGGUGGGAUAGACCCCUAUUUAUAAUAGUUGCAUGACAUAUAUUAUAUAUAUAUAUAUAUAUAUAUAUAUAUAUAUCUUUGUCCAUAUAUUCUAUCAUCCAUUGCUAGUAAAUAUGUCCUUUCAAAUAGUUAUUAGUCUUUCAUAAUAGUUCUUCCCAUUAGUGUAUCAAUGUCCUAGUAUGACUUUCAUAUAUGUUAAAGGUGAAAAAUAAUUAGGAGAAAGGAAUGAAAACUUUAAUAUCAUAGUGUCUCAUGACAAAUAAUAUAUUCAUUUAUUUUAUAAAAUGAAAUGAUGAUAUUUAAGUCAAAAUAAUAAGGAUAAUUAAUUGAUAUAUUUAUUAACUUAAAAUUAAUUAUUUUAGACAAAAUUACACAAGAGGUCCUUUAAAUUGUUUUUAUAAUAGGUUGGUCCUUUAUGUUUUUUUUGUAGCAAUUUGAUCCUUUAGGUUGAUUUCUACAUCAUUUUUUUCAUAUUUUGAACAUUUAGAAAUGUGUGACCGUUAUAUUUCUAGUUUCACUAUUUAUUUUCAUACCACUCAAAAUAAUGACAUUCAUAAUUAACAUUUUCACUAUAUUAAAAAGGGGUAACGGUGCACACGUUUAGUAAUUUAAAUGAUCAAAUUGUUAAAAAAAAUUUUUUAAAGGAUCUAAGGUGUUAUUUUGCCAUUAUUAUAUUUACUAAUUUUAAAGAUUAGUUUGUAGAAUAAUAUGAUGAUAUUCAAAUCAAAUAAUAACAAUAAUAAAGAUAAUUAAUCGAUGUAUUUAUUAAUUUAAAAUUAAUUAUUUUAUUUAAGAUUUUAAAGUUUAGUUUUUAGAAUUAAAUAUUUUAAAAUCUUAAAUACAACUAGAACUGUUAUUUAAGGUAUGGGAAAUUAGGAUGUUACAUUAUUACCCCCUUAAAAGAAAUUUCAUCCCUGAAACCCCCCUUAUUAUUUACUUUAAUCUGCAUGAUAGUUUCCUUGUUAAAAUUUCACAAUUCCCGUAGAGACGAAUUUAAUUUAUUACUUCGAUAAAAGUAGUACACUUGCUAAAAUUGUCCAUCAUCCAUCAUAAUUUUAUAAAACUCCAACUUAUCUUCUCGAACUAGUAUGAAUCAAAGAAAGUUGUCACGAAAAAAGUAGCUAGAUUAUAUAUUUGUUUUAAUUUCCACGAAUGUUUUAAAGGAAAGCUACACACGUGAAACAUUUUAUGAGUUUUAAUAUCAUAAUAUUGUUGUUCAAAAUAUUAGUCAUAUUUUUCUAGUUUUUCUUGUUCAAAAGCAGCGACAAACAUUUGUCUUCGCCCAACAUAUGUUUUAUUGUUUUCUUAUUUUUAAGAUGAGACUUUAGGUUUUAUAAUUUUGUUUUUAUUGAGAUAAGUAAAAAUUUUAAAUUAUUGUUAAAUUAAUUAAAGUUUUUAAGUAAGUGUUCAGGUAUGUUGUUGUUUUGUUAAAGUAAGUUGUUGCUUAUGUUAAUGUAUAUUUUGUUUUUUUUAUAAAUGUUGUUAUUUUUGUUAUUGUAAAUAUUUUAUUGAGGUAUAUUAUUGUUUUUUCAAGGUAAGGUUUAUGAUUUUUUCAUAAAUGUUCUUUUUUGUUUUGUUUUAGAUGUUUUUUAAAGUAUGGUGAUUUUUUUUGUUGAGCAAUGUUAUUUUUUGUUAAGAUAAGUUGUUGUAUUUUGUUGAUAAAUGUUGUUGUUUAUUUUAAUUUAGAUGUUAUUGUUGAAGUAUGUUGAUAUUUUUAUUGAGGUAUGUUGAUAAAUGUUGUUGUUGAGGUGUCUUAGAUAAACGUUUUGAUUUUUGUAAUUGUAUGAUGUGUUUGUAUAUGUAUAUUAUUAUUUGUGUUAUUGUUUAUGUUUUUCUUAAUGUUUGUAUAUGUAUGUUAUUAUCUGUGGAUAUUUUAACUGACAAUCUCUUGAACUAAACAAGAGCUUUUACAAUAGGCAAAGUUCAAGAACAAAAAGUGAUAUUGAACGGACAACCCCAUAAACCAAACAAGAGCUUUUUAACUUGGUUUUGAUCAUAUUCAAACUAAAAAUAUCAUAAUAAAUACUAUAAAACUACCCUCACACCCGAACCAAAUACCUCACGUGUAAAUUUCACUCUCAAAUCACUAAGGUAAAAGUGAGGAAGAACUAAAGAGAGAGAAAAGAGUGGAUAAUGAGAAAGAGUAGUCAAAAUACAUUUUCUAGUAUGUAAGAAAUGAGAAAUAAACCUUCUAUUUAUAGAACAAGGUGUGGCACAAAAAUGGAAAGAAUCCAUGGACUUUUUAAUAUUCACAACUGAUAAUGCAUAUGACAUAAUCGAUUAUGCAAUUAAUUAAUGUUUUUAAAUGACGCUUUCACUUAUCAAUUGUAGCUCCGUUUAAUCGAUUAGGGUUACAAAAGUGAUAGUUGAUUAAUCAAGUGCGAUAAUCAAUUAUGUCAUGUAAAAAUCCUCUUAGUUGAUUAGAAUAAUUCCCUAAUUCAUUACCUAGGAACAAAAAGGUUUUUAAAUAGUUUUACUAAAACCGGAGAGGAUUUUUAAUCAUUCAAGGUGUUGUGUAAACGCGCUAAUGAUACAAUAAGUAUAUAAUAUAAGAUCAUUGUCUAAUUUCUCAUAGACUGUCAAACGAAUAUAUACAACAAAUUUUGUGAAACUACAUGCCUAAAGAUUAAGAGAUAUUGAUGAGGAAGUUAUGUAUGAGAUAUGUUAUUAAAAUAUAAGAGACAUUCUAGGAGCUACCUAUGUUGUCAUCUAAUGACAUAGUCAAUUACAUCAGUUAAUUGUUACUAAAAAUUACAUGCUAAAAACAACAGUUAAUUAUUAACAGAAUAAAUAUGGAACUGCAUGGUGCAAACACAACUGUCAUGGUAAGUUAAUCAUGCAAAAGGGUGACAAAUCGAUUGAAGCUAGCAGAAAUAUACCCAAACGCAUCGCAUGCUCGAGCAUACAACAGAGUCACUAUCGAACUUUAUUUAUUCCCAGAGGAAAGAGAAAACAUCGAUAAAACCCGAGGGAAAGAGAUAUGUUAGGUAAGGAAUUCGUUUAUGCAAUGGAAAGGUAUUAGCACCCCUAACACCCAUGGUACUCCAAGGGAACCGUUUUGAUUGUUCUUGCUCGAAUGGGUGUGAUAUGUGAAGAUUACUCGCAAAAGAAUGGGAAAAGGAAGAGAAAUCGAUAAAGUGUUCGGUGAGGAUUCCCUCAUGCCUACGUAUCCUCAUUGUGCAAUGAGGAAUUCAGAGCUCUGUAGUUCGAAGAACUAGUGGUGGGAGAUGAAAAGAAUGGUGAUCAAAGUAUGGUUUGAACCAAAGAAUUAUGAUUUGAACUCCAAUAGGGGGUGAAAAUAUGAACCCAAGAGUAAAAAUGGCGUUGACCGAUAUGUGGACUAUUUGGGCUGCCACUAUAUGGUAUAGCCAAAAACAAGGUGAAUUAAAUGUCUGGGGACGAUCCAAACAACUAUUGGUUCACAAGGUGACACAAGAUGGAGCAUAAAGAGGUAGUGUAUUUGGUUCAGAGAUAACUGGUAUAUCACAUGGAGUGAAUGGAGGUAGAAUAUGAAUGAAUCAUGGAGAUGAAUGGAGGAAUGCCCUAAGGCAGGAGUAAUAAAUAAGUAUGUCGAAGAGGAUUCAAACCCUCGUGCCUACGUAUUCUCAUUGUGCAAUGAGAAAAUCAAAGCAAUCGUAGUUCAUCCAACUACAACUGAAAACAAAGGAGAUAGAUUGAUUUCCAAAAGGAAGAUUGCUUAAUAAGUAAGAGUGUGGUACUAACUAAUAAUGGUGAUCAACCACAAGGACAAAUGAGAUAUAGUCAGAUUCUGAACUCCACAGGGCAAGAUAGAUGAAUGCCAUUCUGAAUUAAAUACAAGGCAAGGAACAGACUUCCAAAGUCUGAACUCAAUAAGGUAAAAGGGAAUAUAAUGCUAAAGUCUGAACUUCAAGACAAUGUCAAAGGUUGCCAUAGUUUGAACUCCAUGGGCAAGAUGUAUAAGUGUGUCAUAGUCUGAACUAUACAAGGAAAAGGAACUGAUCUGAAUGCCAGAAUCUGAACUCCAUAAGGGCAAAAGAGUAUGAUGCAAAAGUCUGAACUAUGAGGCAAUGAAAGAGGUAGCCAGAGUCUGAACUCAAUGGGCUGGAUGAAUGAAUGCCAAAGUCUAAACUGUAAGGCAGAAUGAUAUGUCAAAGAUUGUACUGUGGAUAAAAUCAAGGUGGCAAGAGUCUGAACUUAAUGGGGGUGAGGAUGCCAAGAUCUGUAUCUCAUAGUUAAGGAAUAAAGUCAGAGUCUGUACUCCAUAGGCUGAAAGAAGUUGCUAAGGUCUGCACCUUGCGGGUAAGAAGCAAAGCCAGAGUAUGUACUCUAUGGGCUGAAUGCCAAGGUAUGUACCUUAUAGGAAGAGGAUAAAGAUGCCACAGUCUGAAUUGCAUGCGCGAGAUACCAAGGUCUGUACCUCAUAGGCAAAGAAUAAAGCUAGAGUCUGAACUCCAUGGGCAGAAGGAAGAUGCCAAGGUCUACACCAUGUGGGCAAGAAGCAAAGCCAGAUUCUGUACUCCAUAGACUAAAAAGAGUUGCCAAGGUAUGCACCUUGAGGGCAAGCAACAAAGUAUGACAUAGUCUGAACUGAUAGGCAAUGCAUGAAGCAAUUUAUUGAGAAAUGGGUAUGUGACCCCAAGAUAAUGAUCCCAAGAAAUGUAUGAACAUCCAGGUGGAGAGUCUGAUACUGAAGGAGGAUUGAUGUGCAAUGAUGCUUCACUAUUGACGUGUUGAAUGAUUGGUGCUCGCUUGAAGAGGACUUGUCAAUUGCAGGCUUUAAAUUUCACUAAAGUCUAUGAACAAGGGAGAGUUCUUUGAAUAGCUAGGGCCUAUGCCCCGUACGAAAGUCACUCUAGAAAAUGGUAGGAAAAACUCUGUCUCAUCACUCCUUAUUACUUAAGGCUCAUAAUGUGUAACUCCCGUCGUGAUUGACAAGUGUUGUUAGAGGCCUCUGAUUAUUAAUCUUGAUGAUGCCAUGCUGUUUGUUGUAUUACGAAGACUUGAUAAUUGUUUGAUACAAAUUGUACUAGAGUCUAUGAAUGAGGGUGAAUGCUUUGAAUAACUAGGGCAUACACCCCGUACGCAAAGUCAUUCUAGACAAGGAUAGGAGAAACUCCAUCUCAUCAUUCCCCAUUACUUAAGGCUUAUGGCUUACAAUUUGAAUCGCACUUGUCAAGUAUUGAUACCUUUGUUGUGCUUGAGAAAUAGUCUACUUUACUAGCUAUGCUUGACUGAUGUUGACUUGAAGUCUUGAUCUUGCAUUUGAACCUUGAGGUCUUAGGCUCCAGAGAUUCAUCAUAUCCACAAUAACUUGAGUGUAAUAAAAUUGCCAUAUCAAGUGAUCAAAGGUCUUUUGAUCACUUGAAAUAGGCUUGGAACUUACAGCACGAUUGCAAAGGAUUUGGUUGACCAGAGUGUCCUUUGGUCAACACUAAUAAAUGAGGGAUUGAAAUAAGUUGAAUUAUGUAUAAUAAUAAUCAUAUUGAAUUAAUCAUCUAAAUGAAAUCAGACUAGUCUGAUCAAGUCCCUAAACUAAGGGAGCAUGUAUUAAAAAUCAGGAAUUUAAGCCCUAAGGGCAAAAUGGUCAAUUCACAAAUCAUAUUAAUAUUGAGUUAAAAUUCUAAUCAUGACAAAUCUAAUUAGUCAAUUCUACGUCUAAUCCAAUUAGCUCUAAUUCUAAAAAGAUUAUCUAAUUAACUUAUAAAAACUAAUUAAAGUCCAAUAUUUGUAUAAGUAUUAAUCUAAAUCAAAAUUUAAUACCUAAAAAUCUAAUUAAUUAACUAAACUAAUCAAGUUGAAAAACCUAAUUAACCUAAUAGCCACUAAAAUCUAAUUAGACUAAAAUUCUAAAAAUAUUGACUAGUCAGGUUUAAUAUUUCUAAUCAAGAUUAAUUAUUUCCUAAUCCUAAAUCUAAACCUUGAAACUUAAUUACUAAAUGAUUAUACUCCUAAACAACAAAAUACAUGGGCCAAAAUGCUUAGGGGUGUAGGAUCUUACCUGUUGGGGAAUGAGAGGAAGCAGCUUGAGCCUGGGGCUAAAGCCCAUGCAUUUAACCUACAUGGUCGGAGGGGUAUGAGUCUAAAAUUUGGGCUUUCAAGCCCAAACGCUACAGACCAAAUCUGCACUACAACAAACAAGACCUUAGACAGCGCUUUUUUUAGCCUUAGACAGCGCUUUAAAGCGCUGUCUAAACCUCCGCUGCUAAAGGUUUAGACAGCGCUUUUUUAAAUCUUAAAAGCGGCUGUCUAAGCCCCCCCGCCCCCCUUAGACAGCGCUUUGGCCAAAAGCGCUUUAUAAGACCCUCUUAUUUUAAAUUUUUAGGUAUACCUAGACAGCGCUUUGAAAAGCGCUGUCUAAGCCCCACCCCUUAGACAGCGCUUUGGCCAAAAGCGCUUUCUAAGACCCUCCUAUUUUAAUUUUUUUAGUAUACCUUAGACAACGCUUUUCAAAAAGCGCUGUCUAAGCCCCCCCCCCCCCCCUUAGACAGCGCUUUUUACAAAAGCGCUGUCUAAGGUAUACGAAAAUUUUUGAAGCUUUUGUUUUAAACCACAUUUUUUCCAGGUUUAUAAACCAGAAUUUCUACCUGUUUUCAACCAGAUUUUGACAGACAAUUAUCACAUUUUAUAUAUGCCAUUUUGGCCUUUUUUCUACCAAUUUUUGGUAACAAAUAUAUAUAUAAUAUAAUACCAAUUCAAACCAAUUUUGCCCUUAAAUGUAUCAAAAUAUAUACAAAUAUGUACACAUUUACAAGUCAUAACAAUACUACAAUGUACACAUUAAUUACACAAAUUUAUGAACAAACAUUGAGCUUUCAUGAAUUGACACCACUCCUCUUUGAUUUCGUCCACUUGAUCCUUUGUAUAGGAUUAGGCAAAUGUUAAAUGGUAACUUGGAAAAUAUAUUAUAAUAGAUGAAUUUAGAAUGAAAUCUAACCCGGUAUUAAACGGUAUAAAAACAAUUUCUCCGCAUCUUUAUGUCCAUGAGGAUCCAAAGAACGUACUCCGUCACGGUAUCCGGUCUAUUAAGAUUAAACUAAGUUGACGGUCGCGGUGCUAAGAAUCGAAUGACACGUCCAAACCAUUGGGGCGCAUCAAUUUGCAAUAGAUUUACUUUUAGCAAUCUCUACGCUUUAUCUUAGUCAAUAGCUUCAUGUCAUACCUUUUUUAUUUCUGAACCUUACCUAGAUUCAACUUCUCCUCCCCACUUACCUAAGCUUAACCUUUUUGUGAUGAAACGUAGUAGCGACCGAUAUUUACCAUUGCAGCAACCAAAACUGCAAUGUAUAUCCACCAUUCAUGAUGCGCCGCGAUGUUAAACACAACAAACACGACUGCGCUAUAUAUCAAGCAAUAUGGGACUAAUCCACCCCUUCAAACCGCACAAGUGAAUGGUGGAAUGUGCAUGCGUCGCAUUGCGAGACAGCAAAUGCUAUUUAUCGACUGGUGGUACACUCACUAAGACAUCUGAUAUAAUUUCAACGCACCUCUCUCACGCGUUGGGCCCUCAAUGAGACUGAAGCCGUGAACGAUUUAGGCGACUAGGACGGACCGCAAUGAAGACGGAAAUUUACAAUGUCUAUCCGGUGUCUAGUGACUGUGUAUGUGCUUCAUAGGUCAUGAUAAAUAUACUCCUUUGAUUUGAAUUUCAAAUUAAGGUUAACUGAGAGUCCGAUACAUAAAAAACUAGAAAGUGGCACUUCCAUUAACCCGGAAGAAAAACAAUACUGACAAAAUAAAAACUUUCUUCCACCACACACAUAAAAAUCAUCCAUUCAAAAUCAAACCAAGUCAUAAUCAAAUCUAGUAGCUAUCUAAUAUAAAGACAGCCAAUUUCACAAUCAAAUAAUGAAAUUUCACAGACAAGUAAAAUACAUUUAACCCAAAACAUUAUGAGUGAAUGCUAAAACACUGAUUUAUAAGAAAAAACAACCAACCUGAGAAUGACAUAUCAAUAUGGCCAGAAGAAGAUGGUGAUAAAUUUGCCGCGAGCCCAUUGUUAUCACAUGCUAAGAUGAAAAAUUGUUCCAUCAAUCUUCCAAGUAAUCACCAUGAACCUAGCAGCUACCUCAAUACCAUAAUAUUGCAACCUUACCUUGCAUUUGAUCCAUCACCAUUGCUCCAUGAACAUCGCAAUGCAAUAGCCACAAUUGGACUGCAUCAUGUCAGCAUACCACAAACUGUUCAAACUCAAGCCAAACAAGGCAGUCCUGCAACAUUACAUGGAUCAGUAAGAAAACAUAAUUACUUGUAUACUAGAUAUCCUCAUACAAACCAUCACGAUCCUACACUUCACAUGCCAGAAAUCUAUCCCACUAAAGUCCUGACCUGCAGCCAACAGCAACAUCAGUGCAACCAAACAUUGUACCACAAAACUACAUAAAUGCCACACCACAGUUAAAUUGGAUAAAGGUAAAUGGUUCAUUCAUAAUGCAAUCAGUCCACAAGCUUACCUAAUGAACAACUUUACAACCAAGGUCAUAACCAGCAGAAGCAUCACAAUGCCAAGCCACGAGAGUGUUUGACUUACCAUGGAACUAAAACAAAACUUGCCAUUGAAUUACCAAGACCAUUGCAUGAAUCAACAACACAACAAUUUACCUACAAGAAGACCAACCAACAGUUGUACAAAAAAAAAACAAGUAACGCCAUACCAAUUGGAAAUAAUCCAUGACAGAAUGAAAUUCAAAUCCUUGUCACACCAGGGGAUCCAAGUCAAAACUGGCAAUUAUUUGAGCAUGAGUGCCAGAUUGUAUUGUCUUUCUUGAAUCAGUGAAGCAUACCACCUGCAACAGUUGAGUAGGGCAUCAAUUACAGGCUUGCCAAUGUUGUAUCAUACAACAGAACCAUCAUGAACCUGCAUCCACAAGCUCAUGUGUUACCAUCCAAUUCUAGCCUGGCAGGAGGUUUCAACAUAGCUCAUGGCAAGCAUAACCAAUCUACAGACUAAACUGAUGCGACAAUCAUAAGCCAAAUGCAGGUAUGCCUUUUUCAAUAAGUCAGAAACUACACCAAGCUGUAAUAGUAGCCAAUUGACAUAGUCAUGAGCUGAACCUGCAACAUGUGUUAAAAUGGAGCCAUUGCCAAACAAACUUGCAUCAAGCCACCAAAGCCUGUAAUCAAGCCAUGCCAGCACCAGGUUUUACAAACCAGCACAGUGAACUUGCAAUGCUUGAAACUUACUUGUAUUGCAGCAAUGCACAAUGGUCCUAACAUAACACUACAUCAAAGAACAAAAAACAACAUAAAACAACUUUCCUAAAUUCAAGUUACUAACCAAGAAUUGCUAAAAAGGGAACAUGUCAACAGUCAUCAUCAAGCUUCACAACAAAUGUUACUUAAGUCAACCUUCACAACCAGCCACUAAUAGAAUCAUCCUAACCUAAGUAACUAACUUCAUCAAACUAACUGCCAAACUCAGUGAGUUAAUAGAAUAAACUCACUAAGUUCACAUCUCAACUAACUCCAACCAACUCCUAACUUAUUCCAAAACCUAUUCAUUCCAGACCUAGUUGCAUAUAUAUCAUCAUCUCCAUCAUCAUUGCAAGGGCUUGGCAUCAUUCCUCAAGCUCCUAAGCAAUUCCUCUCUGAUUUUCUCCCUCUUCCAACACUACACGCAUGAUCCCAAAGGUAUUUAAAGCUCAUCAUUAGAGCUUCAAUUUCACUUGUGCUAAACUUCUCCCACACAGUACAAAGCACUCAAUUCACUCAGGUUUCUGAAUCCAGAAGAAGAAGAAGAAUCAAGGAGAAUAAGAAAGUGCGACCAGUACAAGGAACAAGCUUUGAAGACAUUACCUGGAAGGUCAUCAUCGCCGUCAACAACUUCGGUCAAGCGAAGGUAAUUAUGAAAAAUGUCGCCUUCUUCAAAUUUUGGUUACCAAAUGUAGAGGAUGAUGAGAGGAUUCAAAGUCCUCAUCUCUGGGCUUUGAAUCAGUGAGAUAGAAUUAAUUGGAGAUUUCUCGUGUAGGAGUUCUUGGGAAGAUUGGAUUUAGGUUUCAGGUAUUUAGAGGUUCCAAGUUGCAUUCAAGAUUAUAACUAGGGUAUUGGGUAGAGCAUGAAGGUAGAUUGGAGAUUUUGUUGGCAGCUCCAAUAGUGUGUGGUUUUUUUUGUGGCCAUCGGUCGCCAGGAGUGCCUAGGUAGUGUGACGCAGUCGUUAAGGUGUAGGCAUGUUGGCAUUCUCGAGGCAUGAGGAAGAGUAGUGUUGUUUGACUCUUUCCAAAAUUUGUGAUUGAAUCCUUGAUGGGCUUGAUUUGGGCCAGGAUUCGCUAUCAUUGAUCCUGCCACCGAAGAGCUGUAGGUAAACUUGUGCGGCGUGUUGUGAUACGUUCAAAAUGCGUGCGACUGGUCGAGAGUGCAAAAAGCGGCGUUUCUAGAGCGUGUGUAAAUCCGAGCUAAAGAAGGGGUCUGUGAUCGAGACAACGGCGCGUGUGGUUUCUAAGAAUUCCAAGCGCUUGUCGGUGUGGACCCCGGCCUUCCUCUCCCACUCUCCUGUGUCCCCUCUCCCUUAAGCCUGCUCUCCCCCCCCCCCCCCGUGAUCCCCCCUCUCGCGCCCCCCCCCCCGCGCGUGGCUGUUCUGCGCGUGUGUCGCCCAACCCCCCCCCCCCCUUAGACAGCGCUUUCAUUAUUUUUUUAGAACAUUUUCCGUGUUUUAUUUUUAUUUUAACCUUAGACAGCGCUUUCUUUUAAAAGCGCUGUCUAAUAUGCGCUGUUAAAAAACCUUUUUGGCGUAGUGCUGGUCAAACACAAGCAACGAAGGGAACUUAGGAAACAAGUGUUUUAAGUAACGAAAACUAGGAUGACCUAAUCUUAAAUGUCAUACCAUAAUGUUGUCAUCUUUAUUAUUCAAAACAAACAAAAAUCAAAGCAUGAACUUAUUGUUUUUUAAGGUAGUUGUGAUGCAGAUCCAAUGUCAAGGUAGUAGAGUCCUUCACUCUCCUUAGCAUUUUCAAUCAUCUUUUCCGAGUUCAAAUCCUGAAAGACACAGUGAGAUCGGAAAAAAAUAGUUUGACAAUUUAUAUCUUGGCCUAAUGUACUGACGGAUAUUAAAUUACAAGAUAAAUUUGGAACAUGAAGGACAUUUUUAAGAGUUAACAUUGGAGACAACACAACUGACCAUUUACCUGCAAUGGUUGAAAAAGAGCCAUCUGCGAUUUUUAUUUUUUAAUUACCUGCAUAUGAACUAUAUGAAGAGAACAUAGUAGAUUUAUCUGUCAUGUGAUCGGAUGCUCCUGAAUCUACUAUCCAAGUAUGACUGGGACUGACACUAAGAAAUGCAGAAUUAUCUUUUGUUGUUAUAGAGCAAGAAGGGGUUGGAGACUCGAGGAGUUUGUACAGUCUGUCUAAUUGCUCCGUAGUGAGUGGAAACUGAGACGGGGGAGGUUGCUGCCCUUGAUUAGAAUUACUAGCCUGGAAUGCACAACCACUUUUCUUCUUUCAGUUAGGAGGUUUGUCUUUGAGCUUCCAAUAACUUUCACGUGUAUGCCAUUCGCGCUUGCAGUGAUCACACCACGGAACUUUGUCUCACCUUCUUCCCUCGUCAAGGUUCCUAGUAGGCAGAACUGAGCCUUCAGAUUCAGGUUGUGGUUGGUCGCCAUGGUUGGAUCUAGUGUAGGCCUGUGAUUAGGAAGGCCACCUGUUGUUGUUAUUCGCCAUAGGAGGCUAAACGGGUAUGUGAAUCGGGUCGAACAAAAAUAUGUUGAGGAAAAUUUUAUAGUAACCCCUAACCCAACAAAAAUAGAUUGAGGAAAACUUUACGGUAACCCCUAACCCAGUGCUCUGGAUACCAUAUUGGAAAAAGUAGAUAAAAACUGUAAUGUUUUAUUCGUCAGCCUUAGGCUGGUUUAUAUAAUGAAGAUACAAUUAUUACAAUUGAUUUUCUCCUUAAUGGAGAAUAAAGAAAAAUAAAAAUAAUAUUAAAGAUAAUAAUAAAAUCGGAAAUAAUAUAUUUUCCAACAUAGACUUUUGCUGCAGAAUGAAGAAGAGAUUGAGAGGGUGAAGAUCGAAUGAUUGAAGAUGGAGAUUGAAGAGUGGAGUUUUCCCCUUCUGUGAUAGAGUGAAGAAAAUGGAAUGAAGCUCCCCUAGUUUUCUGGAAUGAAAAGGUAUAUAUAACAAUGCAAUUCAGUUAUGAAAUACAUCUCAAAUUCAUUUCAAAUUCAGAGUUAGUUAGAAAUUUAGUUUUAAUUAGUUACAAAUGCUAAUGAAAUCCAACUUGAAUUAUCUUGAAAUGUGGAUUUCUGCUACUCUGUUAGAUUAGCUAGAAAUUGAAUUGGUUAAUGGGUUUUCUGUUAUUAGUUGAGUGCAGUUAGUUAUGGAGUUAAUAGUUCUGUUUGUUAUUUAGAAGUUGUUGUUUUUUUGUUCAGAAUUUGGCCUUAGUUGCAGUUCUAAAAAUUAAAUGUGACUUUGCUUCAGUUGCUGAAUGAAUAAUGUUGUUGUUCGAUACUUGUUGACAGGUACUGCUCCCUCAUGAUUUGAUACAUGAAGCUCAUUUGCAAUUGUCGUCCGAUUAAUAGGCGUUAUAGCUCCGAGGACAGCAGUAUGCCAAAACGAAUUAUGUCCACAUGUAUGGUCCUAUAGAAGUUCUUAUGCAAAAUGUUGUCCCUAUGAACGAGUCGUUCUUUCGGUCGAGUACCUAGUUUCAGCAGGUUUGUUAACAGUUAGUUGUGAUUUGAGUUUCAGUUUAAGUUAUGCUACCAGAUGAGCUACUGCUAGUCGAAUGGAUGAACCUGUUAGAAAUUAAAUGUAAAUUGCUUAUGUGUUGGUUUAGUCCAUAUGAAGUGAGGUUAUUAAUUGAUUGUUCAAGUGAAGUUAAAUUGGAAAUGCUUAUGAAGUUCAUGCUUGGAAUUGGAAUUGGCUUGAAGCUUGGAGUUGUUAGGGAAUUUUGUGAAUUCUAAAUUGGAAAGUAUGGAAUGGUUGUAAUUUUCUUUGGACCAUUUUUAAGUUUUGGUUUGUAAUAACAUCUAAUUAUUAGAAUUUUAAAUUAGAAUGGAUGUAAAUUACAUAGAUUAUGAAUCUAAAGUGUUUUUGAAUGGAAUAUGCGUUGAAUAUAGAUUAUUCAAUGUGAAAAUCAUUACUUGAAAGUUAAUUAAUUAACUGCGGUAUGAUUAGGAACGAAUUUAAACAUGGUUUGAAUGUAUUGAAUGGAUCGUACAUAGAAUCGGUAUGAAAAUUUUAAAUGUGCCUUAACUCGAAUGAAUGGUUGAAUGAAUAGUAUGAAAAGUAAUGAAUAUGAUUUGAAAAUGUUAUGUCACAUGAUUUAAAAAUGAAAAUAAGUCGAAGAUGCAUCAAUUAAGAACCAAUAGUUAAAAGAUCCAAGGUGUAAUGUAAAUGAUCAAUGUCAUGUGAUUAUGGAAUGAAAGGUACUUUGUCAAUUAAUUGAUCAAAAAGUUAACAGUUGAUCAAAGUCACAUGUGAGGCAAGAGAUGGGGUUUCCAUAUAUAAUGUAAUCAAGGCACAAUCCACAUGAAACCAGCCUAAUGGUUAAGCCACAAUGCAUGAAUUAAUAAAAUCAAUAUCUGAAUGAAUUAGUUACCCUUGACCAUUUGUACCACAUGGAUGAAAUGAAUCAAGACAUAUAGACCCAUACAUAAGAGAUCUAAGUCAAUAUGCUAGGCAAUGUUUGAACCAAAUGAAGUACCAACCAUGUAGGUAUAUGGAUAAUGGGUGAGGCAUGAUAUGAUAGUCAGACAUCUUUCCCCAAUGAAUUAGAGUUUCAAAUAAGCACACGGUGAAAAGACAAGCCACAAGGCGCAUUAGGAUCAAAAUCUAUCCUGAUUAGGGCUUCAUGGUGCAUAGGUGCAAGCUUAUGAGACCCAAGAACAGUAAAGUCGGGAAUUAGGAUUUGAACGCAUAAAUGAACGUCAUGGUUAUAAUCUUCUUGAACCAAGAUCCAAAAAGGCAUGAAAUUAAUGUUUCCUCUCAUACAAUGAGCCAAACUCCACUACUUAAACAAAACCCUAGUUUUAAUUAACCCCUAGUUUUGAAUCUAUGAGAUUUUAUUAGCAUGAAUGCACGAUGUAUAAUGAAUGAAUGCAGAUGAAUCUCAAGUCAUGGAUCAGACGAAAAGUGAAAAGGGAAGGACAAAUUUUAGGAUGCGACACCAAUCAGUUCUCAUGAUUUUUUAUGGAAAAUUGUCUUCUUUGUGACACAGUACAAAAAAUGUUUUUGAUUACAAGGACUUUCAACCCCAAAAACUUGUAUCACGGGAGUUUUGAAAACCACUGCUAAUACAGUUCCCAAAUAUAUUUGCAAAGGGUUUUAGCGCUGAUAGCCUAUUUAAACCGGAUAAAUUUUUAUUUUGGAGGUCGAAAACUCUUAUAAAUUAUUAUUAAUGUGCAAAAAGAUAAAUAACAACUCUUUAUAUUUUAUUGGAGAUAUAAUUAUGACGAAAUCAAAUGAUAUGAAAAUAAAAAUUAUGCUGAUACAACUGAAAAUUCUUGUUCCUUUACUCCGGAAGAAUGUUCUUUACGGAGGAACUUUCUAAGAUCACUUGUAAUGUUUAACAUAUAUUAUCAAAAAAUAAAUAAAAAAUAUUUCAAUUGCCUUAUUUUAUUUUAUUACCAAUAUUUUAAAGUACAAAGUCUUACAUGUAUGGUCUGUGAAAUUUUGUAAGGAAAAAUAAAAAGUACAUUUAUUAUGGUUAGUACAACAAUUCAUUGGCAACUAAGGAAUAUUUUAUUAUAAAGUUGUGUAAGAACUCAUUUUUUCAUGUAUUGAUCCUGACUUCUUUCUUUCUUAGAAAUUGACAUAGAUUGUCAAUGCACUUCACGCCGUGAGAUUUAUUAAUACUAGGAAACACUUUUUGACAAUAUUCAUCUGUUUCACAUUUAACUCUUACUGUAAUAAAAGAACAAAAUAGAGAAUAAUAUUAAUAGAAAAAAAAUAAAAAAUUGAGUUCAAAGUAAAAAAGGUAAAGAUCAAAAUUUGAAAAGGUUAGAAAAAUAUCUUACGGCAAAUGUUUCUUUCAAUAAAAAAUACAGCAAUGAAUAAAAUCAUAAAAUGAACAAUAUUGAGAAAUUUAGUCUCAUCUUUCUCUUUUUGCAUGUUAUAGAUAUAAUAUGAUUGAUCAAUUUAUAGUGUAUAAACUUAUCCUAAGUUAAAAUAAAUUAAUUAUUUUUAGCCCUUGAGAAGUAUGGAAAAACAUCUUUAAAUUGCUAAUGUGUAUAUUUUUAUUAGAUUAAUAUGUUAUGAUUGUCCUUUGACACAUUAAAGAGUAACAUGCAAAACUUUCUUAUCAUUAGAAUUCACUCUUCUUAAAUUAAUAGAUAAAUAAUAUUUUAUUUAUUUCUAAAAUAGUUACAAACGCAUAGUUUACCGAUAGUUAAACUUAUUGUAAGUUUCUUUAUAGAUAAAAUCAUUUGAUUUUAGGAAAUGAAUAUUAAAUUUUGCAGUUAUUUGAUUUUAGGGUUGGGGAAUUCGAAUCAUUCCCAACUCGGUUCAAUUCGAUAAGAAUUAGUCCAACUCAAAAUUUGACUCGAGUUCAAUCCGAUUUUUUUAAAGGUUAAGUUCAACUUAUUUUAAGUUCACAAAAAUAAUUUAUUUCAAUUCGAUAGAUUCAUCUUGUUAGGUUCAAUUGUAUGCUCUAUAGGUUAAAAAGCCAUAUUUUUAAAUAUUAAUAUAUAUUUUUUUUAUAUUUGACAUUUUAAAUUAAUAAUUUUUUUAAAAGGAAAAUAUUUAAAUAAAAUGAUAAUUAUAAGAUUGAAAUUUAACUUUUUCUCAAAAAAAUUUAAUGUUUUAUUUAUUAGAAGAACUUUAUUAAACAAAGGAGUUUAAUUUUUAAUCACCCUAUACAAUUUUUUUUAUAUGAUGAUGAAUUUAUUUGUGUAAUUAUUUUUAAAUAUAUUUUGUUAACUUGGGAAUAUAAAUUAUCAAUUAAAACCGUCAAAUUAAAAGAAAAAUUAGAAGAUUUAUAGUAAGUUUUUAAACAUAUUCUUAGAGCCAAUAUAAUUCAUCUCAUAUAUAAUCGAGUUGAUUCAUGAACCUAAUGAGUUGAGCUAUACAUAGUUCAAAUCUACCUCAUUUAAUUAACAAACUUAAUUUUUUGUUCAUAUUCAGCUCAUUUAGUUCAUGAACCUAGUUCAAUGAUUUAGUUUUCGAAUUGAGUUUUGAAUUAUGUUUGAAUUUGUCUGGUGCAUGCAUAGCUCUAUUUGAUUUCAUAACAUUAUCAUUCACAUAAAUCCUGUAACAUUCCAUAUAAUAUAUAUCUAGAGUAAUAUCAUACAAGUUUUAUUAUUUUUUUGGUAUUGUCACAACAUAAGUGUCUAACAACAUCUUUAUAUACUUGCCCAUAAAAUAAAAUACAACAUAUCGAAUAUGUCAUGCGAUAGUGCCUAAAUAAAGAUCUAAGAACUAUGUACAAUAUCUACAAUUGUACAAAUCUACUGUAGAAGAUCAUAAUAAAAUCUUUCCUUGAAACAUCAAUGCACAACUCCUCUUGUACAAUAUAUCCUAUAAACAAUACUUGGAAAAAAACCAAUAAUAUUGGGGUGAGAUAAUAAUCUCAGUGAGUUAUCCUAUCUUAUGGGUUCACUCGGCUCUAUAGAGUUUUCUAAUCGAUUUCCUAACUCAAGUCACAAAGGGGGAAAACUGGAGUUCCCAAAACUCGCAAUGUAUAGAAAUACGCCUCUUGAGUUCAUCGACUCAAACAAUCAAUAAUCGGAAACCAUUACAAGGUAUGUUCCCCCAUCCAACCCUACGUCUAGGAUUAUCGACAUGGGUCACGAAUCCUUGUAUAUACUUUGAAAUAUGCACAGACUUCCGAUUCUAAGUGAUCACAUCCACUUCAAGAAUCGCCGCUUCCUAUGGGACUCAAAACUCAUUUCAAGACUUUUACUCGUAUGGGACUCACCCCACUUUGGGAUCUACCGUCUUUGGAACUCACGCCCAGGUCAUAAGUAUUGGUGCGUACGUCCCAAUUCUUACUCUAUAUGAGCAUCACAACUUGGGACAACACAAUUAACGAGUUAUUUUUGACUACGUGACAAGAUAGAAAUACAACGUAAUUGUAUUCAAAAAUCACAAGGUAGUCACGUUCAUCUUCAUCAAACAACAAUACAACAUGUUCCAUACAAUGCAUCCCACUCUCAACUAUGGCAACCAUCCAUCCAUGACACUCAACCAGGUAUCAUAUAGAAUAAACGUCCCCAUCUAACAUUAUUUAAGCCAUAUGUCUAACUUCUUACCCUAAUUAGAACUCUAAGUUAACUCACAUUGUUCAUCACGUUUCUCUCUCAUCUAUUGUUAAUUUAACACAUACAUAUCAGAACAUAUGUCAUAAGGCACACAUAUGGAAAAGAUAGCAUAUUCCAUUUAUCCCAAACAAAACGUAAUAAAUUAUCAUGAUCAUAUAAAGCUUUAAACAAGCUUUCUAAUGCAUUUGACCGCACAUCGAACGGAUUUAUGAAACUCAAGUUAUGCCACAAACAAUACAGAGGGAAAACACAAAAACCAGUUAACCGCGCUAAGCGCCACCUGAGCCUGCUAUUGUGAUUUGAGAAUGUUAUGUGGAGAAUUGUGGCAUCCUUUUUGAGUAUUUUAUUAUGCAUGUUUUAUAAAUUAAGUGUUUGGGGUUUAUGGUUAUACAACCAGACCCCAACCAUAUACAACUGAUCAAAGUAUUUCAUUUCCCUUAAGCGGUGAGCGAUCGUCCUCUUGAUUUCCGCUACGUCGUUGGCUCCUUUUCUUCGAACAAUAAUUGAAUUUGUUUCUUAGCCUAGCAAUCGAAAUCUUUCAAAUAUAUAUUCAAAUAAACAAAAAAGUAUUUAGACAAAUAAAUCAAACAAUGCAAGCACAAAUAAACCUUCGACAUCAUAUAUAAGACCUAUAGCAACUUAUUAAGCUCAUGAUAACGGUCCUAAAGUAUCUUAAAUUAUUUUAUGCUAACCGUCCCAACGUAUAUAGAUAUUUCCCCCAUAUUUUGUUGUUAAGCAUUGUUGAAAGUCCACGACUGCUUCCUCCGAUCUUUGACAAGAACUUAAUUUCAGUAACCGUUGAAUUGUACAAAAUUUAUAAAAUAAUGAGAAUAUAAUUUACGCAUAAUUAUAUAAAAUUGUUACAACUUGAAAUAUUUACUUUAAAAUAUUUAAUACUAACCUCCACUAUAUUUGAAUAAUUAUUAAACUCAAAUAUAAAUUAGACUAUAGCCUGUUUGGAUUUGUUGAUUUUAGAAAAUUAUCAAGAGUAUAUUCCUAAUAACCUUUUAAUUUUAUAAUAACACUUGAGCAUUAUAAUGACUUAAAAUGGUAAAAUUUAUCUUUUAUUAGGAUAUCAACUUGGACUUUAUAAGUUCAAUACCUCUAUGGUGAAUGGAAACUUAAAUAGAAUAUUUAAAAUAACCUUAUAUGAAUAAAAUAAUUAAAUUAAUAUAAUUAAAAUAAAAUGGACAUUAUAACGAUUUACCAGUUACUUAUGAAAAUAAUUGUGGCAGAAAUUAAGCGUAUAAAAUCAAACUCCUUUGAAAUUUUAGAAGCAUUUUGACCAUAUUAUAACUCUAAAAGCUAUGAACCAAUACUGUGAAAACCUCGAUAACAAAAACUAAUAUCGCUAUAUGAAGAAAAUAGAAAAAGAGAGAAAUAGAAUGGUGAGAGAGAUGAAUUGUGAAUGGAUAUAUAUAUAUAUAUAUAUAUAUAUAUAUAUAUAUAUAUAUAUAUAUAUAUAUAUAUUAAUAUAUAUAUAUAUAUAUAUAUAUUAUAUAUAUAUACUUAAUAUAAUAUAUAUAUAUAUAUAUAUAGUUGAAGUAUAUUGAUAUUUUUGUUAAGGUAGGUUGAUAAAUAUUGUUGUUGAGGUGUCUUAGAUAAACAUUAUGGUUUAUUUAUUGGAUGAUGUGUUUUUAUAUGUAUGCUAUUAUUUAUGUUUUUCUUAAUGUUAUUACUUAUACAUUGCAGUUAUCAUUUUUUUCAACCAAUAUUUUUAGAAGAUGAGUUUAUUAUAUUGUAUAUGAUUUGACUGUUUUACCAACCUACCAUUAAAUAUAUAACCUUUUGAAUUGAAUUAGAAAAUAAUAAUAUGAAAAAUUAAGUUAUAUUAAAAAACAACUUACAUCGAUCAAUAUUUUACGAGCUUUCUUUAGUUUGUUGUCCAUAUAUAUCGCUCUUUGAUGGUUAUAAUUUGGUUUAAUGCUUGUAUUUUUUAAAUCUACACUUUUUUUACUAAUCCAUUCUGAAAAAUUGUUAAUACUUUGCAGAAUAAAUUAAAAGAGAAAGAAGUGUUGGUUGAAGAAUUAUAAGCAUUGAAUCAAAUUUUAACCGUUAAAGAAGGAGAUAUAGAUAAUGGAUUAUAGAAAGAUCGAAAAAUAUUUAUUAAUGUAACUUGUUCUACUAAUAUUACUCAAUUUGUCAUUUUAUUAAUAUCUAAUUAGAGUGAAAUGUUAUAUGUUUAUUGAGAAUUUAAUGAAAUAAGAAUUUCACAUAUUUUACAAUCAGACUUCAAAAAAAACUGUAAAACAAACAAAGAGUAAGCACGGAAUAAAGAAAGUCAGAGUAUAAAGAAAGAAAUACAUCAUAAGUAAAUAAAUGGCUAAAAUGUACACAAAUAAGGAUACAGAAAGAUGCACUAUAGGUUUAUAGAGGUUCGACUUAAUCACUUGACUUACUCAUCUCCUUGAAAAUUUAUUCUUGAGAGUUUAAAACCAGACUUUAGAAAAAGUUUGUAAAACAAACAUGAAAUAAGCAGUGGAAUAUAGAAAAUGGAGUAGAAACAAAGACGUACAUGAAAAGUAAAUUAAUUACUAAAAUAUAAAUAAAUAAGGGUAGAGAAAGAUGCACCAGCAGUUUAUAGAGGUUCGACUUAACCACUUGACCUACUCAUCUCCCCAAAAAAAAAUUCUUGAGAGUUUCCACUAUGUUGUGAGGUUUUUAGAAGUUUUUCCCACGAAUCUCCUUAAAAACAAACUUAAGUUUUAAAAUGGAUAAUCUCUAAACUAAACUGAGAGUUUUUUCCCACAAAAUGUUGUACAAGAUUAAUCCCAAACAAGAUAAGAGAUUUUAUACCAAGCGUAGCUCAGGAACCAAGUGGAGGUUUUAACGAAUAGGCGAAGCUCACGAACUAUGUGGAUAUUUCAACAGACAAUCUCUUGAAUGAAACAAGAUCUUUUACAAUAGGAAAAGUUCAAGAACAAAAAGUGAUAUUUGAACGGACAAUCCCAUAAACCAAACAAGAGCUUUUUAACUUGGUUUUGAUCAUAAUCAAACUAAAAAUAUCACAAGAAAUAUUACAAAAUUACCCUCACACCCGAACCAAAUAACUCACAUGUAAAUUUCACUCUCAAAUCACUACGGUAAAAGUGAGGAAGAACUAAAGAGAGAGAAGAGAGUGAAUAAUGAGAAAGAGUAGUCAAAAUACAUUUUCUUGUAUGUAAGAAAUGAGAAAUAAGCCUUCACAUUUUCUAGUAUGUAAGAAAUGAGAAAUCAACCUUCUAUUUAUAGGACAAAGUGUGAUACAGAAAUGGAAAGAAUCCAUGCACUUUUUAAUAUUCACAACCGAUAAUGCAUAUGACAUAAUCGAUUAUGCAAUUCAAAUAUUUAAUGUUUUUAAAUGACGCUUUCACUUAUCAAUUGUAGCUCUGUCUAAUCGAUUAGGGUUACAUAAGUGAUAAUUGACUAAUCAAGUAUGAUAAUCAAUUAUGUCAUGUAAAAAUUCUCUUAGUUGAUUAGAAUGUGUCUGUAAUUCAUUACCUAGGCACAAAAAGGUUUUCAAGUAGUUUUACUAAAAUUGGAGAGGAUUUUUUAUCAUUCAAAGUGUGUAAACGCACUACUAGGUGUGGCAAAAUGGGUCGGCCUGCUGGGCAUGCCCAUUUUGCCCGAGUUUUGUGCGGGGCGGGCUAAGGAUUUAUGCCCUCACCCUCAAAUGUGUCCGCCCCGCCCCGCCACGCCCCGCUCUGUUUUUUUUCCGGGUUUUACGGGCACGUGUGUUUACAUAAUUUUUUGUAUUUUUAGGCUUAAAGGAGUGCAGUGCUCGCAGACUUUUCCCGCCCCGCCCUCACUUUUUUGCGGCGCGGGUCCACUACGCCAAAAACUGGAAUAGACAGCGCACCUUAGAGGGCGCUUUAUUACAAAAGCGAUCUCUAAAGUGAAGCGAAAAAAUAAGGAGCAAUAGACAGCGCACUUUAGAGGGCGCUUUUGUAAUAAAGCGUCCUCUAAGGUGAAGCGAAAAAAUAAGGAGGAGAUAGAGGGACAACAAUACAUGGCGCUUUUUAGAAAGCGCCCUCUAAGGUUACCCUUAGAGGGCGCUUUUAAUAAGCGCUGUUAUAAGUCCAUGUGCAUUUCCAGCUUAUAAAACGCUUCUGGAAAGCCUUAGAGAGCGCUUCCAUAAGCGCCUCUUAGGCCCCCUUUAGAGGGCGCUUUUUUUCCACAAGCGCCCUCUAAGGUCCCCUUUAGUAAACAUUAAAAUUAAACAUACUGCGAUUUUGUUAUUUCACUCUCUGUUAUUUUCGUUCUUUUUCACGUUAGGGUUCUAAGGGCGUUCUCCUUCCACCUCUGUUAGAUCUACGACGUUUCCUCCUUCUACCAUCAAAGGUACACGAUGCAUACAUUAUUACUUGCACUAUUGCUUUGUUUUAGCUUUGCCCCAUUUCAGUUUUAUGUUAUUGUUGUCUAUGCUACGUUUGUUCGACCUGUAAAGUUUCAAUAUUCAUAAUCAUUUAAAUAGUUUGGGUUAUUAGGCAAUUGACGGUUGGUUUUUAGUGACCAUGAUAGCGCAUGCAAUGGGACUACAUUACCCAGUAGUUAGGGUUAUACGACCUAUGAACAUCUGAUUUUUGUGUCAACACAGUAUCAUUAGAAACCUAGUCCGAAUGUGUUUGAAUUCUUCAUUAACAGCCAACCAGUACAUAGCGUAGCUAGUAACUUAAGAAGUUUAGGUAUGGAUGUAUUUGAUAGAGUAAAUGGAGACAUGAAUGCCCUGCACAGAGUAUCUUCUGAAAUUGGUUUCUCUUCUGAAAUUGUUUUUUGUUUAUUCUAAUUAGUAAUGGAUAAUACAUGGAUGUCUUCCAAUCGAUUGUCGAGAGAGUACGAGAAUGGGGUAUCAGAAUUCGUUAAGUUUGCCGUUGCGCACGCCGAGAGACCCCAAUAGAAUGAUAUGUCCUUGCUUGGGUAUUGUUAUGGGAACGGGUUGACGCAGUUCAGUUGACAUCGCAUCUAAUGAGGCAUGGAAUUGAUCGAAGUUAUACAUGUUGGAAUUUGCAUGGUGAGAAAAGUACGAGAAUGUUGAACCGGGGAAUAGUACGACCUAUGCCUCAAACUAUAGUGGUGCAGAUACAACGAUUGUGAUCGAGUUGAAGAGAUUGCAGAAGCACUUGAAGGAGAUCUUAAGGAUUGUCCCGAAAUGUUUGAGAGGUUUGUAAGUGAUGCAGAGAAACCUUUGUAUGAUGGUUGCACUAAAUUCACAAGAUUGUCUGCAGUAUAAAGUUGUACAACUUAAAGGCGGGCAAUGGAUGGUCGAAUAAAAGUUUCACAGAGUUAUUAGGCCUUUUGAAAGAUAUGCUUCUGAGGAUAAUGUUCUUCCCAAUCAAACAUAUGAGACCAAAAAGAUGUUGUGCUCUAUUGGCAUGAGCUAUGAUAAGAUACAUGCAUGUCCAAACGAUUGCGUUUUGUUUCGAAAUGAGUAUGCAUCGUUAAAUGGGUGUCCUAAAUGCGGUGUCUCGCGAUAUAAAAACAAGUUGUCUCCAGCAAAAGUCUUGUGGUAUUUCCUGUUAUUCCGAGAUUUAGACGCAUGUUUCGUAGUGAAACCGAUUCAAGACACUUGACCUGGCAUGCAGAUGAAAGAAUUAUAGAUGGAAAGUAUCGACAUCCGGCAGAUUCACCACAGUGGUUGAAAAUUGAUAAUGAUUACCUGAAUUUGGAGAAGAUCAAGAAACCUUCGCUUGGCAUUAUCUACUGAUGGAAUGAACCCACACGGUAUCCAGAGUAUCUCACACAGUACAAUGGCCUGUGAUAUUAUGAUUUAUAACCUACCUCCAUGGCUAUGUAUGAAGCGUAAGUACAUGAGUUGUCUAUGUUGAUUUCUGGACCUAACAACCAGGGAAUGACAUAGACGUGUACUUGAAGCCCUUAAUCGAAGAUUUAAAGAUUUGUGGGAGACCGGUGUGGAGGUUUAUGAUGGAUAUAGGAAAGAAAGUUUCAACUUGAGGGCGAUGUUGUUUGGCACAAUUAAUGAUUUUCCCAGCAUACGGAAAUCUAUCAGGGUAUAGCAUAAAAGGUCAAUGUGCGUGUCCUAUUUGUGAAGAUAAAACAGAUUGGAAGCGCUUGGAGUUUGGUCAAGAAGAAUGUCUUUCUCGGUCAUCGGAGAUUCUUAAAUCAAAUCAUCACUACCGUGGAUGGAGAAAGGCGUUCAAUGGAGAGACAGAACAAGGCAGACGCUCCAACCUAUAUUGACGGGUGUCAAUUUUUGAAAAGGUGAAAGAUUUGGAUACUCAGUUUGGCAAGCCUUUUGCCCACACACUUGUCAAAGUGGGUGGAAGAAGAGGUCAGUUUUUUUUGAAUUGCCGUUUUGGAAGUCCUUGUAUGUGAGACAUUUUCUUGAUGUUAUUGCAUAUUGAAAAAAAAUGUAUUUGAAAGUGUUAUUGCACGUUACUCAAUAUACAAGGAAAGUCUAAGGAUGGCCUUAAGGCAAGAAAGGACUUGAUAGCGAUGGGAAUAAGAACUGAAUUAGGACCCUUGAAGAAAGGAAGACGAAACAUAUCUACCGCCUGCUGCUUAUACUCUAUCUAGAAAGGAGAAAAAACAUUGUGUAAGUUCUAGUGAAGUUAAAGUUCCAGAAGGGUACUUUCAGAUAUUAGAAGACUUGUGUCUAUGAAAGACCUCAAGUUAAAGAGUUUAAAGACCCAUGAUUGCCAUGUUAUAAUGGAACAUUUUCUCCCAAUAGGUAUACGUUCUAUUCUUCCAGAAAAAGUAAGAAGCUCUAUAACUAAGUUGUGUUCUUUCUUCAAGUCAAUUUGCAGUAAGGUGAUCAAUCCUGCGAUCUUACCAAUGUUGCAAAAAGAAAUCGUUAUUACUUUGUAUGAGCUUGAAAUGUUUUUUCCUCCAUCAUUUUUUGACAUAAUGGUACAUCUAGUUGUUCAUCUUGUGAAAGAGACACAAUUGUGUGGACCAGCUUAUAUGAGAUGGAUGUACCCUAUUGAACGUCAUAUGAAAAUAUUAAAAGGGUACGUGAAGAACGCGAAGUCGACCAGAAGGUUGUAUGGUUGAAAGAUACAUUGUUGAAGAAGCGCGAUUGAGUUUUGUACUGAAUAUUUGUCUAAUGUUCAGUCAUUCGACUCCCUAAGUCUCAACUUGUCGAAAAGAAAGAAGGAAAAAAUCUAAUUGGAAAUAAAAUCGUGCAGUAUCAGGGUCGAACGGGAUCAAUGCAUUUGUAUGUUCUGCACAAUGAGAAUGAGGUUGAGCCGUAUGUUGAAAUUCACAAGGAUGUUCUCUGAGGUUUAAAAUCCCAAUAGAAAUGAAAAUUGGAUAGUACGGAGAGCACAAUCGAUGUUUUUAUACCUUGGUUUAAGGAUCAUAUUUAUUCAAAGUAUUAUUCAGAUCCCGCUUCAAUAACAGAAAGUGUUGAGAUGCUUAGCAUAUGGUCCAAGUUUCCAUGUUUUUUCUAUAGCGCAUACGCGAUUAAUGGAUACACAUUUUAUACCAAAGAACAAGAUGAUAAAAGUACUAUGCAAAAUAGUGUGUCACCGUGGUAGCUGAAGCAAUGCACAUAUCAAGUGUGAAGGACUUAACCCCAAAUUUGCAAAUCUGUCGUAUUUUGGUGUUAUCGAGCGCAUUUGGGUGUUUGAUUAUGAGAAGUUUCAGAUCCUAUAUUUGGUUGCAAGUGGGUUGAAAACAAUAACGGCAUUCGAAUGGAUAAGUCAGGAUUUUGCAAGUGGAUAUUAAUGAGGUGGGAUACAAAGAUGAGUCUUUUAUUCUAGUCUCUCAAGCUAGACAAGUGUUCUUGUCAUGAUCCGAAAGUACGAAAUGGUCUAUAGUUCUUUUUCCAACAAAGUAAUUGAUGAAAACACUGGAGAUCAAGGUGAUAUUGAUGUUGAGAUUGAGUCGUUUACCAGAAAUGAUCAAGAUGAGAAUAUAUAUCAAAUGAUUCAUAUAUUAGAAAUGAUCAUAAUGAGGGUAUUUGGAUCAAUCCAACCGUCCGUGUUGUUAAGAGACAUGUAGAACAUAUUCCAACAAAGAAAAGAAAGAGAACUUAGUGAAAAGGUACAGGUCAAAUGAUUUUAAUUGUUUUCUUUAUUACAGGUAAAAUGACUUUUAUGAUUUUAAUUGUUUUUACAUUUUGUCAUCUGAUUUUAAUUGUUUUCUUUAUUACAGGUAAAAUGGCUAUUAUGAAGUCAAUCAUUCGUGCAAGGGGCAAGGAUACUUGAAAGUAUCAAUUGAUAUGUGUUUAGAUGGAGAUGUUCAUUGUCGUCAAGCCUCAUUCGCGUAGAUGAUGAAUGCUGGAUAUUUGAAGUAUCCCUCUACGACAAUGGAACAUGUCCAUCUAAACAAAUAUCAAUUCUAUCUUCAAAAGAUAGGACCAAAAAAUAUAUAAGGGGAUUACGCAGCAAUCGAGUCAGUUGCAUAAAAAAAAAGGUAUAAACACAAUUAUAAUAUUUUAUGCAUAGAAAAUGUUAAUUCUUGAUCUUAACAUCACCUAACUAAUUUUAUGAUUAUUUUAGGUUCAUGCUAUUGAUAUUGAACAAAAAAGAGGUUGUUGCUAAGAAGACUGCUGCUAGCAAAAAAAACAUACAUCUCAGAGAUGCUUUUGCUACUUAGUUUUAUUUCUUUUUAAAGUUAUGAAUUGGUUGUAUAUUUAGAAUCUUUGAAGUUAAAACGAUUAUGUAUCAGGGGAUGUUGUAUAUGUAUGGAUUGUUGUAUAUAAGGCUGUUGAAUGCAAUGUGUGAAAAAGGGCUUCAAAUAUACAGUUUUGGGUGUACUGCUUCAUAUAAUACAGGUUGGUCUAAAAUAAAUAAAAAAAUAUAGCGCUUUUUAAAAAAAAAAUUAAUUAAAUAACCACCCACUUUAGAGGGCGCUUCCCAAAAUAAAGCGCCCUCUAAACCCUUUAAAUUUCCACUUUAGAGGGCCGCUUUCAGUAAAAGCGCCCUCUAACCCAAAAAGUUUCCACUUUAAGAGGGCGGUUUCUAGUAAAAGGCGUCCUCUAAACCCUUAAAUGUUUCCACUUUAGAGGGCGGCUUCUUUAAAAAAGCUCCCUCUAAAGUGGCCCAUAAAGGGCUUAAAGAGCCACUUAAGACAGCGCUUUCACCAGGAAAAAAAGUGUUGUCUUUACUAUGCCAGCCGCAGAUUAGAGGGCGCUUUAAAGCGCUGUUAUAGGCCAAAAAAGCGCCCUCUUUUCCCUUAUUUGGCGUAGUGGUCUAAUUUUUAGGCCCCGCAUCCCUCAACUAUCACACCGCCCCGCCUCGUCCCGUUUUUUUGCGGGAUUUUACGGGACGGACAUAUAACGGGACGGAUAUGCCCGUUUGCCACAUUACGCACUACUGUAUCAAUAAAUAUAUAAUAUAGAUCAUUGUCUAAUUUCUCAUAGACUGUCAACGAAUAUAUACAACAAAUUACCCAAACUACCCAAACUACAUGCCUAAAGAUUAAGAGAUUAUUGAUGAGAAGUUACGUAUGAGCUAAUGUUAUUAAAAUAUAACAUUCUAGGAGCUACGUAUUUUGUCAGCUAAUGACAUAGUCAAUUACAUCAGUUAAUUGUUGUUAAUAAUUACAUACUAAAAACAACAGUUAAUUAUUAACACAUAAAAAUGGGACUGCAUGAUGCAAACACAACUGUCAUGGUAAGUUAAUCAUGCAAAAGGGGACAAACCAAUCACUGCUCAUGAUUUUUUAUGGAAAAUUGUCUUCUUUGUGAAAACACACUAUAAAAAAUGUGUUUUAUUACGAGGAUUUUCAAUCCCAAAAAAUUGUAUUACCGGAGUUUUGAAAACCGCCGUUAAUACCACCGUUCCCAAAUAUAUUCGCAAGAAUUUUAGGUAACCGCUGAUAUCCUAUUUAAACUGGAGAAAUUUAUAUUUUGAAGGUCGAAAACUCUUGUAAAUUAUUAUUAAUGUGAAAAAAAAUAACAACUCUUUAGAUUUCAUUGGAAAUAUAAUUAUGACAAAAUCAAAUGAUAUGUAUAUAAAAAUUACGCUGAUACAACUGAAAAUUCUUAAUGGCCAAAAUAAAAUAUAAUCCUAAAUAAAGAACAAUAAACAUUCCAAGAAUGAAACAAAUCAUACUCAACAUAACUUUACAACAUAUCAAGUAUUAAGUAUUAUGUAAUAUCUUAUUAUUUCAUGAAAGAAAACUCUAGUUCCAAGAAGUUACAAUGAUCGUUUUUUAUUACAUCAUAAAAGAAACGUCAUUAUAAAGAGUUUGCAAAGAAAAGCUACAUGAAUAAAUGAAUUUUUCCAUUUCUAAAAUAAUAAAAGUUAUUACUAUAAUAGGAAGCUCCAAUUAGAUUAUAAAAUAUAAGUAAACUUUCAUUGCUGGUGGCAACUCCUGGUUCUUGUUCCUUUACUCUGGAAGAAUGUUCUUUACAGAUGAAGUUUCUAAGAUCACUUGUAAUGCUUAACAUAUAUUAUCAAAGAAAAAUAAAUAAAUAAAUAUUUCAAUUGCCUUUGUUUCUCUUCUUGAAAUUGUUUUUUGUUUUUAUUCUAAUUAGUUAAUGGAAUAAUACAUGAGCCUCCAAUCGAUUUGUCGAGAGAGUACGAGGCAUGGGUAUCAAAUUCGUUAAAGUUUGCCGUUGCGCACGCCGAAGAACCCAAUAGAAUGAUAUGUCUUGCUUGCGGUUUAUUGUUAUGGGAAACGGGUUGACGCAGUUCAGUUGGACAUCGCAUUCUACAUGAGGCAUGGAUUUGAUCGAAGUUAUAACAUGUUGAAUUUGGCAUGGUGAGAAAAGUACGAUGAAAUCGUUGAACCGGGGGAUUAUACGAACCUAUGCCUCAAACUAUAGUGGUGCGAUAAUACGAUUGUUGAUCGAGUUGAAGAGAUUGCAGAAGCACUUGGAAGGAGAUCUUAAGGAUUGUCCCGACAUGUUUGAGAGGUUUGUAAGUGAUGCAGAGAAACCCUUGUUAUGAUGGUUCACUAAAUUGCAGCAAGAUUGUCUGGCAGUAUUAGUUGUACAACUUAAAGGCGGGCAAUGGAUGUCGAAUAAAAGUUUCACAGGAGUUACUUUUAGGCCUUUUGAAAGAAUAUGCUCCUGGGAUAAAUGUUCCUUUCCCAAUCAAACAUAUGAGACCAAAAAAGAUGUGUGCUCUAUUGGCAUGAGCUAUGAAUUAAGAUACAUGCAUGUCCAAACGGAUUGCGUUUUGUUUCGAAUGAGUAUGCAUCGUUAAAUGAGUGUCGCCUAAAUGCGGUGUCUCGCGAAUAUAAGAACAAGUUGGUCUCCAGCAAAAGUCUUUGUGGUAUUUCCUGUUAUUCCGAAUUUUAGACGCAUGUUUCGUAGUGAAACCCGAUUCAAGACACUUGACCUGGCAUGUGCAGAUGAAAAGAAUUAUAGAUGGAAAGUAUCAGACAUCUCGGCAGAUCUCACCACAGUGCGUUGAAAAUUGAUAUAUGGAUUAUCUGAAUUUGGAUGAAGAAUCAGAAAACCUUCGCUUGGCAUUAUCUACUGAUGGAAUGAACCCACACGGUAUCCCAGGAGUUAUCUCACACAGUACAUAUGGCCUGUGAUAUUUAUGAUUUAUAACCUACCCUCCAAUGGCUAUGUAAUGAAGCGUAAGUACAUGAUGUUGUCUUAUGUUGAUUUUUGACCUAAACAACCAGGAGAAUGACAUAGACUUGUCACUUGAAGCCUUAAUCGAAGAUUUAAAAGAUUUUGUGGGAGAACCGGUGUGGAGGUUUUAUGAUGGAUAUAGGAAAGAAAAGUUUCAACUUGAGGGCGAUGUUGUUUGGGCACUAUUAAUGAUUUUCCAGCAUACGGAAAUCUAUCAGGGUUAUAGCAUAAAAGGUCAAUGUGCGUGUCCUAUUUGUGAAGAUAAAACAGAUUGGAUAGCGCUUGGAGUUUGGUCAGAAGAAUGUCUUUCUCGGUCAUUCGAGAUUCUUAAAUUCAAAUCAUCAACUACCGUUGGAUGGAGAAAGGCGUUCAAUGGAGAGACAGAACAAGGCAGAGCCCUCCACCUUAUUAUGACGGGAUCAAAUUUUUGAAAAGGUGAAAAGAUUUUGGUACUCAGUUUGGCCAGCCUUUUUGCCCACAACACUUGUCAAAAUGGGUGGAAGAGAGGUCUAGUUUUUUUUUGAAUUGCCGUAUUGGAGUCCUUGUAUGUGAGACAUUUUCUUUGAUGUUAUGCAUAUGAAAAAAAAUGGUAUUUGAAAGUGUUAUUGCACGUUUAAACUCAAUAUACAAGGAAAGUCUCAAGGAAUGGCCUUAAGGCACCAGAAAAGGAAUUUGAAUGGCGAUGGGAAUAAGAACUGAAAUUAGACCCUUUGAGAAAGGAAGACGAAAAAUAUCUACCGCCUGCUGCUUAUACUUCUAUUACUAGAAAGGAGAAAAACAUAUGUGUAAGUUUCUAAGUGAAGUUAAAAGUUCCAGGAAGGGUACUCUUCAGAUAUUAGAAGACUUGUGUUCUAUGAAAGAACGCGUCAAGUUAAAGAGUUUAAAGACCGCGGCAUGAUUGCCAUGUAAAAUAAUGGAACAUUUUCCUCCAACUAGGUAUUCGUUCUAUUCUUCCAGAAAAAGUAGAAGCUCUAUAAACUAAGUUGUGUUCUUUCUUCAAGUCAAUUUGCAGUAAGCGUGAUCAAUCCUGCCGAUCUUACCAAAUGUUGCAAAAAGAAAUCGUUAUUACUUUGUAUGAGGCUUGAAAUGUUUUUUCCUCCAUCAUUUUUUUUGACAUAAUGGUCACAUACUAGUUGUUCAUCUUGUGAAAGAGACACAUUGUGUGGACCAGCUUAUAUGAGAUGGAUGUACGCCCUAUUGAACGUCAUAUGAAAAUAUUAAAAAGGGUACGUGAAGAAACGCGAAGUCGACCAGAAGGUUGUAUGGUUGAAAGAUACAUUGUUUGAAGAAGCGAUUGUUAGCUUUGUAGCUUGAAUAUUUGUCUAAUGUUCAGUCAUCUCGACUCGCCUAAGUCCUCAAACUUGUCGAAAAGGAAAGAAGGAAAAAAUCUAAUUGGAAAUAAAAUCGUGGCCGUAUCAAAGGGUGCGAAACGGGAGAUCACAGUGCAUUUGUAUGUUCUGCACAAGGAGAAUGAGGUCUGAGCCGUAGUGUUGAAAUUCACAAGGAUGUUGCUCUGAGGUUUUAAAUCCCAAUAGACAUGAAAAUUGAUAGUACGGAGAGCACAAUCCGAUGUUUUACUACCUGGUUUAAGGUUAUCAUAUUUAUUCAAAAGUAUUAUUCAGAUCCCGCUUCAAUACAGAAACGUUUGAGAUGCUAGCAUAUGGGUCCAAGUUUCCAGUGUUUUUUCUUACUAGCGCAUACGCGAUUAAUGGAUUACACAUUUUUUUAUACCAAAGAAACAAGAUAUGAUAAAAGUACUUGCAAAACAGUGGUGUCACCGUGGUAUUCUGAAGCAAUAGCACAUAUCAAGUUGAUGAAAGGAACUUAAACCCCAAAUUUGCAAAUCUGUCAGUAUUUUUGGUGUUAUCCGAGCGCAUUUGGGUGUUGAUUAUGAGAAGUUUUCAGAUCCUUUAUAUUUGGUUGCAAGUGGGUUGAAAACAAUAACGGAUUAUCGAAUGGAUAAGUCAGGAUUUUUUGCAAAGUGGAUAUUUAAUAGGGUGGGAUACACAAAGAUGAGGUCUUUUAUUCUAGUCUCUUCAAGCUUAGACAAGUGUUCUAUGUCAAUGAUCCGAAAAGUACGAAAUGGUCUAUAGUUACUUUUUUCCAAACAAAGUAAUUGAUGAAAACACUGGAGAUCAAGGUGAUAUUGAUGUUGGAUUGAGUCGUUUUACCAGAAAAUGAUCAAGAUCGAGAAUAUUAUAUCAAAUGAUUCAUAUUAGAAUGAUCUAAUGAGGGUAUUGGAUCAAUUCCAACCGUCCGUGUUGUUAAGAGACAUGUAGGAACAUAUUCCAAACCAGAAAAGGAAAGAGAACUUAGUCGAAAAGGUACAGCGUCAAAUGAUUUUAAUUGUUUCUUUAUUACAGUAAAAAUGACUUUUAUGAUUUAAUUGUUUUUACAUUUUCAUGCUGAUUUUAAUUGUUUUCUUUAUUACAGGUAAAAUGGCUAUUAUGAAGUCAAUCAUUCGUGCAAGGGCAAGGAUACUUGAAAGUAUCAAUGAUAUUUGUUUAGAUGGAGAUGUUUCCAUUGUCGUCAAGCCUCAUUCGCGUAGAUGAUGAUGCUGGAUAUUUGAAGUAUCCCUCUACGACAAUGGAACAUGUCCAUCUAAACAAUAUUCAAUUCUAUCUUCAAAGAUAAGGACCAAAAAUAUAAGGGGAUUACGCAGCAAUCGAGUCAGUUGCAUAAAAAAAAAGGUAUAAACACAAUUAUAUGAUAUUUAUGCAUAGAAAUGUUAAUUCUUGAUCUUAUACAUCACCUACUAAUUUUAUGAUAUUUUAGGUUCAUGCUAUUGAUAUUGAACAAAAGAGGUUGUUGCUAAGAAGACUGCUGCUAGCAAAAAAAACAUACAUCUCAGAGAUGCUUUUUGCUACUUAGUUUUAUUUCUUUUUAAGUUAUGAAUUGGUUGUAUAUUUAGAAUCUUUAGAAGUUAAACGAUUAUGUAUCAUGGAUGUUGUAUAUGUAUGGAUUGUUGAUAUUAAGGCUUGUUGAAUGCAAUGUGUGAAAAAGGGCUUCAAAUUAUACAGUUUUGGUGUACUGCUUCAAUAUACAGGUUGUCUAAAAUAAAUAAAAAAAUAUAGCGCUUUUUAAAAAAAAAAAUUAAAUAACCACCCACUUUAGAGGGCGCUUCCCAAAUAAAGCGCCCUCUAACCCUUUAAAUUUCCACUUAGAGGGCGCUUCAGUAAAGCGGCCCUCUAAACCCUAAAAAGUUUCCACUUUAGAGGGCGGUUUCUAGUAAAAGCGCCUCUAAAACCUUAAAUGUUUCCACUUUUAGAGGGCGCUUUCUUUAAAAAGCUCCCUCUAAAGUGGCCCAUAAAGGGCUUAAAGAGCCACUUUAGACAGCGCUUUCACCAGGAAAAAAAGUGUUGUCUUUACUAUGCCAGCGCCAGAUUAGAGGGCGCUUUAAAGCGCUGUUAUAGGCCAAAAAAGCGCCCUCUUUUCCUUAUUUGGCGUAGUGGUCUAAUUUUUAGGCCCGCCGAUCCUCCACUAUCACCGCCCCGCCUCGUCCCGUUUUUUUGCGGGAUUUUACGGACGGACAUAAACGGGACGAUAUGCCCGUUUGCCACAUUACGCACUACUGAUACAAUAAUAUAUAAUAUAAGAUCAUUGUCUAAUUUCUCAUAACUGUCAAACGAAUAUAUACAACAAAUUACCCAAACUACCCAAACUACAUGCCUAAAGAUUAAGAUAUAUUGAUGAGGAAGUUACGUAUGAGAUAUGUUAUUAAAAUAUAACAUUCUAGGAGCUACGUAUUUUGUCAGCUAAUGACAUAGUCAAUUACAUCAGUUAAUUGUUGUUAAUAAUUACAUACUAAAAACAACAGUUAAUUAUUAACACAUAAAAAGGACUGCAUGAUGCAAACACAACUGUCAUGGUAAGUUAAUCAUGCAAAAGGGGACAAACCAAUCACUCUCAUGAUUUUUAUGGAAAUUGUCUUCUUUGUGAAAACACACUAUAAAAAAUGUGUUUUAUUACGAGGAUUUCAAUCCCAAAAAAUUGUAUUACCGGAGUUUUUGAAAACCGCCGUUAUACCCACCGUUCCCAAAUAUAUUCGCAAGAAUUUUAGGUAAACCGCUUGAUAUCCUAUUUAAACUGGAGAAAUUUAUAUUUUGAAGGUCGAAAACUCUUGUAAAUUAUUAUUAAUGUGAAAAAAAAUAACAACUCUUUAGAUUUCAUUUGGAAAUAUAAUUAUGACAAAAUCAAAUGAUAUGUAUAUAAAAAUUACGCUGAUACAACUGAAAAUUCUUAAUGGCCAAAAUAAAAUAUAAUCCUAAAUAAAGAACAAUUAAACAUUCCAAGAUGAAACAAAUCAUACUCAACAUAACUUUACAACAUAUCAAGUAUUAAGUAUAUGUAAUAUCUUAUUAUUUCAUAAAGAAAACUCUAGUUCCAAGAAGUUUACAAUGAUCGUUUUUUUAUACAUCAUAAAAAACGUCAUUAUAAAGAGUUUGCAAAGAAAACGCAACCAUUGGAAAAUAAGAAUUUAAAAUUUUCCAUUUCUAAAAUAAUAAAAGUUAUACUAUAAUAGGAAGCUCCAAUUAGAUUAUUAAAUAUAAGUAAACUUCAUUGCUGGUGGCAACUCCUGGUUCUUGUUCCUUUACUCUGGAAGAAUGUUUCUUUACAGAUGAAGUUUCUAAGUAUCACUUGUAAUGCUUAACAUAUAUUAUCAAAGAAAAAUAAAUAAAUAAAUAUUUCAAUUGCCUUAUUUUAUUUUAUUACCAAUAUUUUAAAGUAAAAGUCUUACAUGUAUGGUCUUCUGAAAUUUUGUAAAAAAAAUAAAGUAUACUUAUUAUGGUUAGUUACAACAAUUCUUGGCAACUAGGAAUAUUUUAUUAUAAAGUUGUGUAAGAACUCAUUUUUUNNNNNNNNNNNNNNNNNNNNNNNCUAUAAUUUUAUCCUUUUUACCAAUAUCUUUAAAGUACAGAGAAUCUUACUAUGUAUGUCUCGCAUACCAAUUAUUCGUAACAAAAAUAGAAAGGUAGGUGGUUACUAAUUUAUGGUUAGAUUACAACAAUAUUCACUUGGCCACUAGCGCAAUAUUCAUUUAUAAUAGUUGGGUGCUAAGAAACUCAGUUUGGUUGGGCACUUAUAUUGACGCCCAACUUACUUCUUUACCAUAGAAAUUCGACAUAGGAUUGUCAGAGCUGCACGUGUCGCAGAGGGGUGUUGUAAUACGAUUUAAUUAAUAUAGGAAUAUCGUCUAUCUUGUAUCAUACAAUUAUCAAAUCUAUUUUCGAACCAUUCAACUAUUUACUGUAAUAAAAUUGAACCAAGAUAACAGAAUAAUAUUAAUAACUUUAACCAAUAAAAAAAUUGAGGUUUCUAUGUAAAAAAAUAUAAAGCUCAUAAAUUUAAAAGGUUACGAAAAUGAUCCAUAGCUGCAAAUGUUGUCUUAUUCAAUUACACCAAAAUCACAGAGCUCAGAUGAAAAUCAUAAACAACCAUGGAACAAUAUUUCGAGAGAGUAUUAGAUUCUCUCUCUCUCUUUCUUUUUCAUGUAUUGACCCCAACUUCUUUCUUUCCUAGAAAUCGACAUAGAUUGUCAAUGCACUUCACGAUGUGAGAUUUAUUAAUAUUAGGAAACGUUUCUUGACAAAAUUCAUCUGUUUCGCAUUCAACUUUUACUGUAAUAAAAUAACAAAAUAAAGAAUAAUAUUAAUAGAAAAAAUAAAAAAUUGAGUUCAAAGUAAAAAAAAUAAAGCUCAAAAUUUAAAAAGGUUAGAAAAAUAUCUUACUGCAAAUGUUUCUUUCAAUAAAAAAUACAGAAAUCAAUAAAAUCAUAAAAUGAACAAUAUUGAGAAAUUUAGUCAUAUUUUCUCUUUUUGCAUGUUAUAGUUAUAAUAUGAUAUGAUCAAUUUAUAGUGUAUAAUCUUAUCCUAAGUUAAAAUAAAUUAAUUAUCUUUAGCCCUUGAGAAAUAGGGAAAAACAUCAUUAAAUUGCUAAUGUGUAUAUUUUUAUUAGAUUAAUGUGUUAUGUUUGUCCUUUGACACAUUAAAGAGUAACAUGCAAAACUUUCUUAUCAUUAGAAUUCACUCUUCUUAAAUUAAUAGAGAAAUAAUAUUUUAUUUAUUUCUAAAAUAGUUACAAACGCAUAGUUUACCGAUAGUUAAACUUAUUGUAAGUUUUUUUUUAAAGAUAAAAUCAUUUGAUUUUAGGAAAUGAAUAUUAAAUUUUGUAGUUAUUUGAUUUUAGGGUUGGAGAAUUCGUGUGGUUCAAUUCGAUAAGAAUUAGUCCAAUUCAAAAUUUGACUCGAGUUCAACCCGAUUUUUUUAAAGGUUAAAUUCACGAAUAAUUUAUUUCAAUUCGAUAGGUUCAACUUCCUGCUCUACAGAUUAAAAAUCCAUUUUUUUAAAUCUAUUUUUCAUUUAUAUUUGACAUUUUAAAUUAAUAAUUUUUGUAAAAGAAAAAUAUUUAAAUAUAAUAAAAAUUAUAAGAUUAAAAUUUAACUUUUUCUCAAAAAUCCUUAAUGUUUUUAUUUAUAAGAAGAAUUUUAUUAAAUUAAAAAUUUUAAUUUUUAAUUACUCUAUACAAUUUUUUUUUACAUGAUGAUGAAUUUAUUUGUAUAAUUAUUUUAAAUAUAUUUUGUUCACUUGGGAAUAUAAAUGAUCAAUUAAAACCGUCAAAUUAAAAGAAAAAUUAGAAGAUUUAUAGUAAGGUUUUAAGCAUAUUCUUAGAGUCAAUAUAAUUUAUCUCAUAUAUAAUCGAGUUGAUUCAUGAACCUAAUGACUUGAGUUAUACAUAGUUCAAAUCUACCUCAUUUAAUUAAGAAACUUAAUUUUUUGUUCAUAUUCAGCUCAUUUAGUUCAUGAACCUAGUUCAAUGAUUUAGUUUUCGAAUUGAAUUUUGAAUUAUGUUUGAAUUUGUCUAGUUCAUUGAUAGCUCUAUUUGAUUUCGUAACAUUAUCAUUCACAUAAAUCUUGUAAUAACCCAUAUAAUAUAUAUCUAGAAUAAUAUCAUACAAGUUUUAUUAUUUUUUUGGUACUAUCACAACAUAAGUGCCUAACGACAUCUUUAUAUACAUGCCCAUAAAAUAAAAUACAACAUAUGGAACAUGUCAUGCGAUAGUGCCUAAAUAAAGAUCUAAGAACUAUGUAUAAUAUCUACAAUUAUACAAAUCUACUGUAGAAGAUCAUAAUAAAAUCUUUCCUUGAAACAUCAAUGCACAACUCCUCUUGUACAAUAUAUCCUAUAAACAAUACCUGGAAAAAAACAAUAAUAUUGGGGUGAGAUAAUAAUCUCAGUGAGUUCUUCUAUCUUAUGGGUUCACUCGACUCUAUAGAGUUUUCUAAUCGAUUUCCUAACUCAAGUCACAAAGGGGGAAAUCUGGAGUUCCCAAAACUCGCAAUGUAUAGAAAUACGCCUCUUGAGUUCAUCGACUCAAACAAUCACUAAUCAAAAACCAUUACAAGGUAUCUUCCCCCGUCCAACCCUACGUCUAGGAUUAUCGACAUGGAUCAUGAAUCCUUGUAUAUACUUUGAAAUACGCACAGACUUCGAAUUCUAAGUGAUCACAUCCACUUCAAGAAUCGUCGCUUCCUGUGGGACUCAAAACUCAUUUCAAAACUUUUACUCGUAUGGGACUCAUCCCACUUUGGGAUCUACCGCCUUUGGGACUCACGCCCAGGUCAUAAGUAUUGGUGUGUACGUCCCAAUUCUUACUAUAUAUGAGCAUCACAACUUGGGACAACACAAUCAACGGGUUAUUUCUGACUAUGUGACAAGAUAGAAAUACAACGUAAUUGUAUUCAAAAAUCACAAGGUAAUCACGUUCAUCUUCAUCACACAACAACACAACAUGUUCCAUACAAUGCAUCCCACUCUCAACUAUGGCAACGAUCCAUCCAUGACACUCAACUAGGUAUCAUAUAGAAUAAACGCCGCCAUCUAACGUUAUUUAUGCCAUAUGUCUAACUUCUUAACCUAAUUAGAACUCUAGGUUAACUCACAUUAUUCAUCAUGUUUCUCUCUCAUAUAUUGUUGAUUUAAUACAUACAUAUCAUAACAUAUGUCAUAAGGCACACAUAUGGAAAAGAUAGCAUAUUCCAUUUAUCCCAAACAAAAUGCAAUAAAUUACCAUGAUCAUAUAAAGCUUUAAACAAGCUUUCUAAUGCAUUUGACCGCACAUCGAACAGAUUUAUGAAACUCAAGUUAUGCCACAAACAAUGCAGAGGAAUAACACAAAAACCAGUUAACCGUGCUAAGCGCCAUCUGAGCAUGCUAUUGUGAUUUGAGAAUGUUAUCUGGAGAAUUGUGUCACCCUUUUUGAGUAUUUUAUUCUGCAUAUUUUAUAAAUUAAAUGUCUGGGGUUUAUGGUUUUACAACCAGACCCCAACCAUAUACAAUUGAUCAAAGUAUUUCAUUUCCCUUAAGCGGUGAGCGAUCGUCCUCUUGAUUUCCGUAACGUCGUUGGCUCCUUUUCUUCAAACAAUAAUCGAAUUUGUUUCUUAGUCUAAUAAUCGAAAUCUUUCAAAUAUAUAUUCAAAUAAACAAAAAAGUAUUUGGACAAAUAAUCAAAUAAUGCAAGCACAAAUAAACCUUCGACAUCAUAUAUCAGACCUAUAGCAACUUAUUAAGCUAAUGAUAACAGUCCUAAAGUAUCUUAAAUUAUUUUAUGCUAACCGUCCAAACGUAUAUAGAUAUUUUCCCCAUAUUUUGUUGUUAAGCAUUGUUGAAAGUCCACGACCGCUUCCUCCGAUCUUUGACUAGAACUUAAUUUCAAUAACCGUUGAAUUGUACAAAAUUUAUAAAAUAAUUAUAAUAUAAUUUACGCAGAAUUUCAUAAACUUGUUAUUACUUGAAAUAUUUACUUUAAAAUAUUUAAUAGUAACCUCCACUAUAUUUGAAUAAUUAUUAAACUCAAAUAUAAAUUAGACUAUAGCCUGUUUGGAUUUGUUGAUUUUAGAAAAUUAUCAAGAGUAUAUUUCUAAUAACCUUUUAAUUUUAUAAUAACACUUGAGCAUUAUAAUGACUUAAAAUGGUAAAAUUUAUCUUUUAUUAGGAUAUCAAUUUGGACUUUAUAAGUUCAAUACCUCUAUGCUGAAUGGAAAUUUAAAUAGAAAAUUUAAAAUAACCUUAUAUGAAUAAAAUAAUUAAAUUAAUAUAAUUAAAAUAAAAUGGACAUUAUAACGACUUACUAGUUACUUAUGAAAAUAAUUGUGGCGGCAAUGAAGCGUAUAAAAUCAAACUCCUUUGAAAUUUUAGAAGCAUUUUGACCAUAUAAUAGCUCUAAAAGCUAUGAACCAAUACUGUGAAAACCUCGAUAACAAAAACUAAUAUCGUUGUAUGAAGAAAAAAAAAUAGAGUGGUGAGAGAAAUGAAUUCUGAAUGGAUAAAUGAAAAUGGGGUGGAAUAAACCCUUAUAUAUACUAGUUGUAAGAUUUAUAUAUAUAUAUAUAAUAUAUAAUAUUAUAUAUAUAUAUAUAUAUAUAUUAUAUAUAUAAAUAUAUAUAUAUAUAUAUAUUAUAUUGAGAUUAAUUCUAUACGAUAAAAAGUUUACACCGUCGGUUCAUCACCAUCACCUGUUUGUAUUACUUUAUAGAUUUUUAAAUAAAAGUCAAACUUCUUUUAAUAUUCACGUCUAUAAUUAAGUGAUGGUGUAAAACUUUUUUACACCUGACAGUGAUUUCAAUUAAUAUCUCUCAUCUCUCUCCUCUCUCUCUUUUCUCUCGUCUCCUUCUCUCUCUCUCUCUCUCUCUCUCUCUCUCUCUCUCUCUGAUGGUUAUAAUUUGAUUUAAUGCUUGUAUUUUUUAAAUCUACACUUUUUUUACUAAUCCAUUCUGAAAAGUUAUUAAUACUUUGCAGAAUAAACUAAAAGAGAAAGAAGUGUUGGUUGAAGAAUUAUAAGCAUUGAACUAAAUUCUAACUGUUAAAGGAGAUACAGAUAAUGGAUUGUAGAAAGAUCGAAAAACAUUUAUUAAUGUAACUUGUUCUUCUAAUAUUACUCAAUUUAUUAUUUUAUUAAUAUCUAAUUAGAGUGAAAGGUUAUAUGUUUAUUGAGAAUUUAAUGAAAUAAGAAUUUCACAUAUUUUACGAUCAGACUUUAUAAAAAAACCUGUAAAACAAACAAAGAGUAAGCACGGAAUAAAGAAAGUCAGAGUAUAAAGAAAGAAAUACAUCAUAAGUAAAUAAGUGGUAAAAUGUAAACAAAAAAGGAUACAAAAAGAUGCACUAUAGGUUUAUAGAGGUUCGACUUAAUCACUUGACUUACUCAUCUCCUUGAAAAUUUCUUCAUGAGAGUUUAAAACCAGAGUUUAGAAAAAGUUUGUAGAACAAAAAUGAAAUAAGCAGUGGAAUAUAGAAAAUCGGAAUAGAAAGAAAGACAUACAUGAAAAGUAAAUUAAUUACUAAAAUAUAAAUAAAUAAGGGUAGAGAAAGAUGCACCAGCACUUUAUAGAGGUUCGACUUAACCACUUGACCUACUCAUCUCCCCGAAAAUUUCUUCUUGAGAGUUUCCACUGUGUUGUGAGGUUUUUACAAGUUUUUCCCACGAAUCUCCUUAAAAACAAACUUGAGUUUUAAAAUGGAUAAUCUCUAAACUAAACUUAGAAUUUUUUCCCACGAGAUGUUGUACAAGAUUAAUCCCAAACAAGAUGAGAGUUUUUAUACCAAGCGUAGCUCAGAAACCAAGUGGAGGUUUUAACGAAUAGGUGAAGCUCACGAACUAUGUGGAUAUUUCAACAGACAAUCUCUUGAAUCAAACAAGAGCUUUUACAAUAGGAAAAGUUCAAGAACAAAAAGUGAUAUUUGAACGGACAAUCCCAUAAACUAAACAAGAGCUUUUUAACUUGGUUUUGAUCAUAAUCAAACUAAAAAUAUCACAAGAAAUAUUACAAAAUUACCCUCACAUCCGAACCAAAUAACUCACAUGUAAAUUUCACUCUCAAAUCACUACGGUAAAAGCGAGGAAGAACUAAAGAGAGAGAAGAGAGUGAAUAAUGAGAAGGAGUGGUCAAAAUACAUUUUAUAGUAUGUAAGAAAUGAGAAAUCAUCCUUCUAUUUAUAGGACAAAGUGUGAUACAAAAAUGUAAAGAAUUCAUGGACUUUUUAAUAUUCACAACCAAUAAUGCAUAUGACAUAAUCGAUUAUGCAAUUCAAAUAUUUAAUGUUUUUAAAUGACACUUUCACUUAUCAAUUGUAGCUCCGUCUAAUCGAUUAGGGUUACAUAAGUGAUAAUUGAUUAAUCAAGUGUGAUAAUCAAUUAUGUCAUGUAAAAAUCCUCUUAGUGUGAUAAUCAAAAAGGUUUUCAAGUAGUUUUACUAAAACCGGAGAGGAUUUUCGAUCAUUCAAACGGUGUAAUCGAGCUACUGAAACAAAAAAGAUAUAAUAUAAGAUCAUUGUCUAAUUUCUCAUAGACUGUCAAAGGAAUGUAUACAACAAAUUUCCCAAACUACAUGCCUAAAGAUUAAGAGAUACCUAUGUUGUCAGCUAAUGACAUAGUCAAUUACAUCAGUUAAUUAUUAACACAAUAAAAAUGGAACUGCAUGGUGCAAACACAACUGUCAUGCUAAGUUAAUCAUGCAAAAGGGUGACAAACCAAUCACUGCUCAUGAUUUUUUAUGGAAAAUUGUCUUCUUUGUGAAAAGACACUAUAAAAAAUGUGUUUGAUUACGAGGAUUUUCAAUCCCAAAAAAUUGUAUUACGGGAGUUUUGAAAACCGCCGCUAAUACAGGUCCCAAAUAUAUUCGCAAGGAUUUUAGGUAACCGCUGAUAUCCUAUUUAAACCGGAGAAAUUUUUAUUUUGAAGACUCUUGUAAAUUAUUAUUAGUGUGACAAAAAAUAACAACUCAUUAGAUUUCAUUGGAAGUAUAAUUAUGAUAAAAUCAAAUGAUAUGUAUAUUAAAAUUAUGCUGAUACAACUGAAAAUUCUUAAUCGCCAAAAUAAAAUAUUAUCCUAAAUAAAGAACAUUAAACAUUCCAAGAAUGAAACAAAUCAUACUCAACAUAACUUUACAACAUAUCAAGUAUUAAGUAUUAUGUAAUAUCUUAUUAUUUCAUGAAAGAAAACUCUAGUUCCAAGAAGUUAUAAUGAUCGUUUUUUAUUACAUCAUAAAAGAAACGUCAUUAUAAAGAGUUUGCAAAGAAAAGCUACAUGAAUAAAUGAAUUUUUCCAUUUCUAAAAUAAUAAAAGUUAUUACUAUAAUAGGAAGCUCCAAUUAGAUUAUAAAAUAUAAGUAAACUUUCAUUGCUGGUUGCAACUCCUGGUUCUUGUUCCUUUACUCUGGAAGAAUGUUCUUUACAGAUGAAGUUUCUAAGAUCACUUGUAAUGCUUAACAUAUAUUAUCAAAGAAAAAUAAAUAAAUAAAUAUUUCAAUUGCCUUAUUUUAUUUUAUUACCAAUAUUUUAAAGUACAAAGUCUUACAUGUAUGGUCUCUGAAAUUUUGUAAAGAAAAAUAAAAAGUAUACUUAUUAUGGUUAGUACAACAAUUCAUUGGCAACUAAGGAAUAUUUUAUUAUAAAGUUGUGUAAGAACUCAUUUUUCAUGUAUUGACCCCAACUUCUUUCUUUCCUAGAAAUUGACAUAGAUUGUCAAUGCACUUCACGAUGUGAGAUUUAUUAAUAUUAGGAAACGUUUCUUGACAAAAUUCAUCUGUUUCGCAUUCAACGUUUACUGUAAUAAAAUAACAAAAUAAAGAAUAAUAUUAAUAGAAAAAAUAAAAAAUUGAGUUCAAAGUAAAGAAGGUAAAGAUCAAAAUUUGAAAAGGUUAGAAAAAUAUCUUACUGCAAAUGUUUCUUUCAAUAAAAAAUACAGAAAUGAAUAAAAUCAUAAAAUGAACAAUAUUGAGUAAUUUAGCCAUAUUUUCUCUUUUUGGAUGUUAUAGAUAUAAUAUGAUAUGAUCAAUUUAUAGUGUAUAAACUUGUCCUAAGUUAAAAUAAAUAAAUUAUUUUUAGCCCUUGAGAAGUAUGGAA
rnacentral:lncRNA from 1 species